rnacentral:lncRNA from 1 species
AGGUAGAUUAACUUCUGUGCCAUUUAUGAAUUACUAUAAUCAAGCUGCAUUCUAGUUUGCUCCGGAGUUCAUACAUUGCUACUCCUAGAACAAAGCUACGUGAAAUAUAGUAAUCAAUCUACAUUGAACAGGUUACUGUCAAGCAUUUCCUCGGUCCAAUUUGGAAUAUGCUAACCGGGUAGAUAAUAAAGCUGCGUUCUAGGUCUCCAGACAUUGCUAAACUAGAAAAAAGCUACAUGAAAACGAUAUAAUAAUGAACUCAUGAGCAGGUUACUGACGAGCAGUUUCCUCUGCCCAUUUUGGAAUAUGCUGAUUAUGCAGAUAAUCAAAAAAUAUUCUAGAUUGCUCCAGAAAUUGCUAAACUAGGAAAAAUGUACAUGAGAACUUUAUAGUAAUCAAUCCAACUCAUGAGCAGUUAGGAUCUAUGUUACCCGGACUCUCCAUUUUUGUGCCUAUACCCGUGUCCACCGGACAUGACAUGGGUGUGGGUAUGGGAUCUGUGUCGGAUCCUUCUUAUUACAACCGGACACCUCACCUUGUAACAUCCCAUGUCAAAAUGAAAACUUAGGUCUUGUUCCAACUUGUUUAUAGAGAUCAAGAUCCAUGAAUGACUUGUUUCUAUGUUGUUCUAUUGAUUUUAUGCUUCAAUUUUCAGCAUAUGUGAUUUAUGUGCAAUAGACACUAUUUUUAUGAAUGUACCAUAAAUCAGGCUAUAUUAAGUUUGACUUGCAUGGAGCUUAAGUGCCAAGUCCCCGUACCCGAGUCUAAUUCCGGAUCCACAUCCACGAAUCCUAAUUAUCCUAAAACUACGAAUCUGACUCUUGGAUCUGUACCCGUGUCCGAUACCCAUACCCGUGUCCGGGUAACUUAGGUUAGGAUACUGAAAGCAGCUUCUCAGCGCAUCCCCCCACCCCUCCCAAAUAUUAUGUUCUUUAUUAUCUCAAAAUGUUCUUGUCCUGUAAUUUUUUAAUUUGGUCGCAUGCAACAUACAGAAACCCAAAGCUAAAAUCUUCUUUACCGUAAGCAUAGAUGCCUCUCAAAAGAUUCUCCUGCAAUCCCAUAGCAUCAAAACUGUCAUAAACCUCAUCAUAGGAUGUAAAGAAAUCUUCUCCCUCAGCACCAAGUCUGCCCCAAUAAAUUCAUAGAGAAAAUUUAAAAAAAAGUUUUCAGCAAAAAAGCAAGAAAAUACAGGGCGAUUUAUUAGAGAAAUGGAAACCAAUCAACAUAUUUGUAUGAUGGAAUAACCAUAUACUGAAGCACAGAUCACUUACAACUCGGUCAUUUUUGCGUCAAAUUGACGUGCAUCAAAUUGAGAACCUUCUGGUGCAGCUCCAGCCAUGACUGUUAGGAGUACAAGAUACAAAGUUUGCAUGAGGAAGAAAUGAAGAGUCAAACUAAUUAAGUAAAUAAUAAACUCAUGUGCUCAACUAUAAAAUAUGUGACUUAAUGAAGGUUUAAGAACAAUUGUGAUUCAAAUAAAAAAAUACACACAUAUUACAUAUAUAUUGAUGGCAAACUGAAAAAAUGUGGAAAAUUAUUCCAUUGCAAAGUAUAAAAGAACCUAGUAGCCCCCUGACAUAAUGCUUUACUAUGAGCUGAUAAUUUCAGAAAAAGAAAUUACAUAACAUAAAUAGUUCAAACAAAAUUUCACAACUACAGAAGUAGAAGAAACGAACUUCAAAUAUUGUUGCUCAGUGGGUUGAUUCAUUACGUUUUCAUGAUAGGAAAUAUUAAUGAGUCGAGUAAUGUUAAUUUGAUAGCCUAAAUCAUAUAUAAACUAGAAACAAUAGAUGCGAGAUAUAGAAUAAUAGAUUAUUAAUAUAUUACUUAGUUCAACUCACUAUAUUUCUGUGUUCCACAAAAAUGACCAAGGCAGAAAAACAGUUAAUUAAAAUAAGAAAGGGCCACUCUAAUUUUUUUCAUAGUGGCAAAUUUUUAGUUGUUCACUAAAAGUUAACGCUGGAAGGUUUUUAUUUAUAAUUUGCACAGUAUAUGCUAUCACUGCGUAUGUAUAUGCCUAGCUCAAACUUAGGCCAAGCCCAAUAUAGUAUCUACCUCUAAUAACUAAUACUGAAACAUUGGGAUACAAACACACCCAAACAGAAAUACCUUAUUUUGCAAAAAAAAUGGAUGCUUAACAGAAUAUCUAUAAAUUAUUAUAAUUGAUUCAACAGAAAAUAUAUUACGCCUUGCCUAAAUCAGUUGUUCAGCAAUACUCCAUUUUUCUUGACAUUAAUAAAAAGUAGUAGACGCAAGUUUUGUGUGCCAAAUGAAUGUGUAUAAAUAUCUGUUUUUAAGCAUCAUCUGCUACUCCACCAAUUGCAUUACAGCCCCUAUUCUACAACAUACCCAUAUUUAUACAGAAAAUGACAAAAUUACAAAGCCAUAAAUUCCGUAUACUUGUCAGCUACACUAAGUUUAAAGCACAAAUAAAAGAUCCCUCUUUACAGCAUAACCAAUGGAGGCAUCUGGAUUGCCAAAACCGAAAUUCAAUUUUUUCUAAUAUAUCUCUCAUCAUACAAAACCAUUACAAACAUUAACUGUAAAACGGUCUUUUUAUACCCCUAACCUAUAGGGGGGCAUAACAUGCUUGAAUUGCUUACAUGUGAAGCAUUUAGACAAAGUAAUGACAAACACAAUCCAGUCCAAACCCUUCCCUACUCAGUCUACACAUACACAUUACCAAUCAGCUUCUUCAACCUAUAAACCGACUUCUCAUUCCCCCAAAAACAAAACACAACCCUCAAACUUAUUAAGCUAAAAAUCUUCCCUUCAUCAAACAAACCCAAUCACACAUUCACAAGAACUUCAAUCCAAACAAACCCACAUCAAAUAAAUCAACUUUAUGCAAACCCAACUACAACUCAAGCCUUGACAACAGCAAAAACACAUAAAAAUCGAAACUUUAACUCAAUCAAUUAAGAAAGCUAAACAAAACUAAAACCCCAUCUCAAAAAAACAAAAAGAUACAAUAUAAAGCAAGCCCAUCAAUCCAUACACACAUAUAAACAUACCCAUGUAUUGAAUUAAAGAUAGAUUGAAAAUUUUAUAUGGAAAAUAAUAAAGAAUAGCUUACUUGUUGAAGAUGAGUUGAAGAGUGAAGUGGGUUCUUGAAAAGUACGAUUAGGGUUUUCUCAAACUCCUUAGAUCUACGCCGCAGGAGUUGAGAAUUUUGCAAAGAGAUAGAAAGUAGUGUGAAAAGUGUUGUUUUGUAUACAAAACCUCGGAGUUGAACGGCGCCGUUUGAUUUUAUUGCUCAAUAUUGCUACGGUUUUCUUUUCUUUAACUAAUAAAAUAACAGAUAAAUACUUCUGAGUUCAUAAAAGAAUAAAAUAAAUUUCAAACUAAUAAUUUAUUUAUAUGAAAACAGUUUGAGACUUUGAGUGGCUGUCAAAUCGAAUAUGAACAGAUUUUGAGCAAAUUCAAUCCAGUCUGUCGGUCUUAUAAUCGAAAACAAGAACUAAAUAUUUAGGAAAGUAAAUUGGGUGUUUGGCAACACUUAUUAUAAGUGUUUUCGGGCUUUUUUAGCACUUUAAGUUGUUUAAGUGUUUUCAGGCUUUUUUAGCACUUUAAGUUGUUUCUGCUUUUUAGGUAGUGUUUGGCAAAGUUGGAUUUUGAAGUCAAAAACUGGAAGUUAGAAAUGCUAGCUUUUUUGGACUUUUUUUAGUAAUUUGCAUUUUUUAUGAAAUUUUUAAAAUUUUAAUAUGUAAUAAACUUUAUUUAUUAUAGAAGUUUAUUUUAAUAAUUUGAAAUUACCAAACACACAAUUUGUUGGAUUUCGGGGCAAUAAAACGCAGCGAAAAGUAACGUAAAAUCAAAAAUUUCCGAAACCCUAAUCGCAGAAUCCAUCUAUAAUGCAUGGCUGAUUAUGGAGAUACGAAAUAAUACCUUAUUAAACCUUUAUGUUAGCGAAAGAUGGAGGUCCGGAAUAAGCAAUCACCACGCAGCCCUCGGUCUAAGGAUCGCGUCUCUAAACAGUCCCGCCUGAUCGCCUAAUGAUCACCGGAACCGGUACUAGCCGAAGUCAACCUCUCUUUCUAGCCUCUCCUGAUGCAGAGCUGCUGGGGUUUAUAAAACGAAUUUAUAACUCAUCAUCCUAAAACAAUACAUCAUUAUGUAUUUAUAGGGAAAGGAGAGAUGGGCCUAACCCUAAUCGGUUUUGGGCUUCUCCAAAUACAAUCCGAUUUAGGUUUUAAUAUUAAAUUCGAAAUCCUGAUUAUUUAAUUAAGACCGGCUCAACUAAACAAUUUAUUCCGAAUUUAAUCAUUUAAUUUAAAUUCGGAAUUUAAAUUAAAACUCCUUUAAACGUUUGAAGUGUGUGACCCUUUAGGUUAUUAUUACGUUGGCAAUAAUUUAAUAUCCCAUAAUAAAAUUAUAUACAAUGAGUGGCAUCUAGUAAUACAUCAUUGCUACCCAAGUAAUAAUAAUAAUUGGUGAUUCAAUUAAACCUUUUGUGAAUAAUGUACAAUGUAAUAUAAUCCUUUUAACCUUAUAUUAUAGAUCAAACUCGAGGCAUGCAUUGUGUCAUCCUCUUCAACGUUUAAUCCGAAUUUUCUUGAUCAAUGAGUGGAUUAUUAAACAAAUCAAUAUUUGAGCACGGCCAUGCAUUUCAUAGUCUCACUCAAUCAAGAGGCCAAUAAUAUCACUCCUAAAAUAGGAGGGUUAAAUCCUUUCUAGAUCAUUCAUAUUUCUCAUACGAUUCAUAAUAUACCCAAUGUACAUUUCAUCAUCACCCGGUCAAAGGUAACUUUUAGUGCAACCAAAGUAUAUUAAUUCUCAUAUAGAAAUAUAAUGAUAUCAAGUCAGAGGAUCAUUACAUCAUUAUCACAGUGAGAAUUUCUAAUGACACUUAUUAACAUGUAAAAUCUCACGGUGGGUCAUUCCAGUGCCAUGUGUUAAUACAUGCACUUGUGUUUUUGACUUUAGUAUCACCAUACUUAUGAUCAUUGAGAUGUGAUCAUCAGUCAACAAACACACUAGUCUCCAUGCAUUACUAUUGUCCCUUAAUAAUAAUGCUCGACUAGGGACCUUUAGAAAUAUCGAUACUAUUCUCAUAAUCUCAUUUCUAAGUCACGCACUUAGAGAUAUAGAAUUGCAUAUCAUAUUCCAAGGACAUUUAUUAUGCUAUAAAUUUAUCACGCAGUAAAUAAAGAACAUAAUAAAUAUCUAUUCAAUAAUCAAUAAAACAUAAUCCAUAAUAUGUUACAUUCAAACAUAAUAGCAUUGUUUCUAGGACACUAAUACUAACAUAAUUGACUUAUAAAUAAAAGUUACCCAGACACUUUUAAUAACUUAUAAGUCUAAUUCACUUAUCAUUUAUAUAAUCUAUUUCUUAUUUUAAGCAAUAAGUCACUUUUUUUUAAGUUGCGCCAAACGGCCCAAGUUUGAAAAUUGAACAGUUGAAUUGCAAGUUUUUAAUAUUGAAAAAUUAUACUAAUUUAAAUUAUUAAAUAUUACAUUUGGCAAAAGGAAGGUAUAGUCUUGCAACGAUUUUUAACUAUAUUAUUCUAUGCUCUGGAGAAGAAGAAAAACUCUAUAAUAGCAAGAAGAAGAACUCUUGUGAGAGACCUCAAACGAGUCUCAAACACCCCCUCGCUAAUCCUUCAAAGAUACUUUCACCUUUAUGCACUAAGUUAUAGUCGAUGAUCAAUCAUCAUUAAUCCACUUUUUAAGAAACUGAUCACAUUUAUAAUUAUAAAUUAAUUUUUGAUUUAUCAAAUUAAUCUCUGUUGCCUGUCUUCUUCCAUUAUGUCCAAAUCACAUUUUUUAUAAAACUGUUUACGAGUGAGACGUUUGUCCCGACUUUAAUCUCGGACUUAAAACUGCAUUCAACUUUAAACUAAAAUUUGGUGUAAUAAGUCAGAAGUCAGCUUAAAGUCAAAAAUAAGUCAGAAGCUAACUUAAAGCCAAGAAUUAGUUUGAAGUACUUUUUUUAGUGAAUUAAUUUUUCUGAACUUUUUUUUUAUAUAAAAAUUACACCCAAGUCAUAAGUUAUCCAAUAAUCAAUUUUAUUUUGAUUUUUAUAUUUUUAAUUAUCUUUAAGUUUUUAAUAAGUUAUAAUUACUCAAACAGACAUUUUAAACUCCCGACUUAUCACACAAGUCAUGUUAAGCCAUAAGUCAUAAACUCAGUCAAACGGACUCUAAGAGCAAGUGCAGUCAAACGGGCUAUAAGAGCAAGUUCAAGAGUGUCCUAAAUUGAUCACCUAAAUCAAAUUUUAGUUUUAAGGCAUUUGAAGCAAAUAAGUGCUCCAACCAUGACCUAAUGGUACCUUAAAACAGCGGGACAUCUAACAAGUACCUUAUUUUUCAGGCACCAAUGUGCAUGUCUUAAAUCAAUAAAAAAUAAUUUCCAUCUAUCUGAACACAUAUGUCUCCUCUCUUCUUUUCAGUUCCCUCCUAUAAUAAUUCAAAUAUAUCACUAGACACAAGAAUGACACAUAUGAUGGAGUUAAUAUACGAAGAUGAUGUCUUGAAUCACUGAAAUAUCAUUUUUUAUUACUCCCUCCGUCCCCCUAGUUGUAUACAUUGGGGGACGGGGACGCGGCACGGACUUUAAUGCUCCUGCAAAUUGUAGUUGUGCAAUUUAUUUUUAAAAUUUUUCUUUUCUGAAUUAAAGUUUAGAUAUUAUAUUUUUAUACAGAAAAAGAAAAUCUCAAAAAUAAGUUACGGAACUAUAUUUUAUAAGAGCAUUAAAAUGCGUGUCGAACAGUUAAAAAGAAACGUAUAGAAUUAAAUGGGACAGAGGGAGUAUAUUUUUAAAACACAGGACAUCGUUGGACUUAGGUGUCAGUUGUCACCAGCUAGCCUGCAACGUUUUCAAAUGUUGGGCUGAUAAUGGGUCAGACUGGACUUAAGCUGGAAGACUACGAGGCUGUGGAUUUGAUCCGGAGAUUAUGUGGGCUCACUAUGUUUACGAUAACCAAACAAUUCCAAUGUCCUUAAAUCAAAGUAUCCCAAAAAAAUUUCUUUUACACUAUUCUGACAAACGAGGCCCAAAUAAUGAUAUUCUCUGGGUCCGAUAAUGUAGGAGGUGGUCGGGUCUCAGGUCCGUUGGAUAAAAAAAUUAAAAUUCUACUAAACAUGAUUUCGAGGUUUUUGAGAUAAUGUUAGAGCUCACCAUGUUAAAUAAAGCGGUCAAUAUAAAAUAUCAUAUGCCUUACUCUAAAUUGUUUGAUUUUUCUUGAUCAAUUUUUAAAAAAAAUUUAUUCAUAUAUUAAUAAACUUAAAAAUGUGUAUAAUAUCAUCUUAUUAUUUUUUUUUGCAUAUUUUAAAUGAAUUAUUAUAUAUAUAUAUUGAGUUAACUUACAAAAUUUCUUAUUUUAGUUAAAAAGUUUAAAUAAAUUGAUCCUAAUGAGAUAAAGCCAAUAAUAGGAAUUUUUUAAAUUUAGUCUUACAUUAUUCUAUAUUUAUUGUAGUUUAUCCUUUCAUUAAAUUCAACAUAUCAUAUAUUUACAAGUCCGAUUUCUCUUUUUAGAACGUUAAUUUCUUUUUUACUGACUCGACUAUAUAAAAGAAAAUCAGGUCUUCUCAUGUUGAGCCAAAAAAAGACUAAGAAGUUUUCAAUAUAUAUAUAUACAAGAUAGAUAUACAAGAUGUUAUAAUAUCAUGUUAAACUUAUUUCGAGAUUUUUCACUCCACAUUUUUUUAUCGAUAUAUACCACUAGUAAUAUUGGAAUUUUCUAGGCCCAAAAAAAGAAAGCGAAGAUAGAUGGAAUAAUAGAAACAUGUGGACGGGCUGUAGACACCACCCCACAGUCUCAGUCUCACCCCAAGGAGCCAUGUGGAAGAUAGGGAGGGGACCUCCUUUCAUGUCUCAUAGUGGCCGAAAGCAUAACGACCGAUGGGAUAAGUUAUAGUAGUAAUAUUUGCAUGUUCGUCUGCGCAUACAAGAUAAGUGUGCGAUGAAUUAUUAUGAGAGGAUGAACAUGCAAAUAAAUGCCCGCAAUCAAAUACACUUUAUCUUCCUUGAUCAAUCAAUCCCAUUAGGGCUACCACCAAGUAAAGGAAGAUGCUGUUACGUUGCGUGACUUGCGUCCUUUCCAUCAUGUCAACAAAUUGAAACAUUCGUGUAAGGAAAGGAUGAUAUUUAGGCGUACUAUCUAGAAUUUAUGAGUCAAAAGUUUCGAUUUAUAAAAGAUAUGGAUUCUUAAAGACAAAAUUUAAAAAGUUGAGAAUUCAUACUUAUUUUCUAAUGAGUUAUUUUAUUUUUAAAAUUUGAUUUUACAUUCAUGCAAACAACCAUUUUAAAAUUUAAUUUAUAAUAAUUUAUUGUUAUAUUAAUAAUUUUUAGAGAAAUUUGGAAAAACAACCAUAUUUUUAAAUUUAUUUCAAAUAUACGGUCAGAAUUGCAUGUGAGGUUGCAACGCUCCUUAAAAACAGUUAAUUUUCAGGUUGCAACAGUUGCAAUUGAGGCACUGUAUUUUUGAAGAAAAAAAAAACUUUGCAACUUAGGUAUUUUAAAAAGACCUAAUUUUUAUAUCAAAUAAGUUUUAAAUAACAAAAAAAAUUAUCUAAACACAUAAAAUAAAAAUCACUUUUCACUUUUAAUGAACUUCUCAUUUAUAAUUAACAAACUAUUCUUUUUAAAUUACGAAAAAUAAUCCCCUAAUUUUCAUUUAUGAAAAUAAGUACUUAUUUUUAGAAUACAAAUCACUCUUACUGCAACUAAUUUUUCUCUUGAUUAAUCGAAAAUAAAGAUGGAUUUAAGUUUUGAUUUGUAUGAGUGAGAGUUGAACCUUGUUAAAUAAACCGGACAUUGAUCAAUUCCUUGCAAACAUCUAUUCAAAUUUUAAACUCUCUACAUUGAUCCUCUCUUAGUUAAUCAUUAAUCCCUGUUAACAACCUGUAAGGGGGCAGCUGGAAUCAUUAUGUGUGUAUAUGUAAGCAGCUCCCUCAUCUCCCACUCCAGAAAGGGAAGGUCCAAAACAUGACAAAGAGUUCCCCCACUUCCAUAAAGGGAAAUGUAUAUAGAUACUAGAUCCUCCAUAUAUUUACACCACUUGACCUUAUCAGAAACUGUUUACAAAAAACCAUUUAUAUAAAAUUAUUUUAUGGUUGGGAUUGAAAAAAUUUAUAUAAAAUUUUGGAGGAUUGAGACUGAUUUGGGGAUUUGUCUCUCCAUCCGAAUGUUCCGAAAUUUUAUGAAUUAUAUACAAUAUAAUUAUUAUAUUUAUAUAUUAAUAUUAUAUAUCAUUGAUGAAUAUAUAAUUUGAAUAAACAAAAUUAUUUCAUUGAUUAAAUUAGCUAAUAUUAUAAUGAUUUAUCUUGUAUUAUAUUAUAAAUAUAUAUAUAAUAUAAUUAUUAUAUUUAUAUAUUAAUAUUACAUGUCAGUGAUGAAUAUAUAAUACUUAUAAAUUUAGAUAAACAUAAUCAUUUCAUUGAUUAAAUUAGUUAAUAUUAUAAUGAAAAUAAAUUAUAACAAACCUCGUUUUAUCUUGUAUUAUACUAUAAAUAAAUAGUAAUUUAAAUUGAUGUUUAAAAUAUUAUAUAAAGUGGAGAAAUAUUAUAAAUUAUGACAUAUUAAGAUAAUUUUAAUUAAAAAAAUAUAUAAUUAAUAUUAUAAUAUUUUUUUUAAAAAAUUCUUGAAUCCCCGAUUCGUGUUAGACAUGGGGAUCAGAGAACUUGACAAGGUGAAAAACCGGCUAAGAGACAUGGGAAUCCUCCAUAUAACCCGCUCUAAUGAAAUUAUGUUUAAUUAUAAUCAUUUUUAUCGUAUCAUCCAACUAAUUAAUAAUUAAUAAAAUUGGAGAUAAAAAAUGGGUCUAACAUGCAGAAAUCUCCCAUUUAGCCGCUCUAGUUAUAAAUUAUUUUAUAAAUUUUCCAAAAUCAUUUCGUAAUACGUAAUCAUAUAUUUUUCUCAUAAUAUAAAUUGAUAAUCAAGUUUAUAUCUAAUUAUAAUCAUUCUCGUCAUAGCAUUGAUCAACUAAUUAAUAUUAAUGAAAUUCGGAUUCAUUCAUGUAUUAGAAAGACAUUGUAUAUUUCUCAAAUUUAUAGCAAUUGCCCUGGCCAACAAGUCAUUCGUGUAAGUUGUAACAAGUCAUUGUAUUAUUAGCUAAUGAUUUAACUUCUUUGAUUCCUCCAUAAUCACGAAUCCAAUUGCCUAGAAGCUGCUAUAUAGCUAGCCUGCUUUUGUGUAAAUCAAGAUUCUUAUAUCAACCAGCUGAUUGGCUUCAUAAUCAGUACUCACAUACAACUUAAAUACUUCGUGAUCAAAUCAUUAGCUUUGCAUUGCAUUGCGCAUGAUGAAAGGACUAACACUUUAUUCUUCACUUAAUUAUGAUUAAGUUCGAUUAGUUAUUCAUUAAGAUACUAUAAACACCUAGUUAGUCUGUACGAUUAGGGUGACUUACAUCAUCCAACUGACAAAUGUCAAUGAUUCGACCAAAUACGGUCGAAAUUAAAUUUUGGUCGAAAAUAGAGGUCGAAAAUACCCGGUUUUCUUGUAGUGCAUGCUUUAUUUUUAGUAUUUAUUUAUAAUUUAAAGCAUAUUUACUUUAAAUUACUUUUGAAAUUGAAGAUCCUCGCGUGGUCCUCUCACGAAUGUAUUUGUUUACCGUUUAUUGGCCAAGAUAAUAAAUUAUAAUAUUUGUAAAUAACUUUAUCUUUUUACAAAGAAAUUGGGCCUGCCAUUACAAUUUGUUGUUUAUUCAUGCUGUCUUGAAAUUCGCAUGCACCGUAUACACCACUAAAAAUUAAAUUAAUUAGCGAUGAUCUCCCUGGACAAUAAUUUCUAUAUUUAUUUUUAAUUGAUACGUGGAGAUAAAAUAUAUGGAAAAUAUAAAAUAGUCGGGAUGAAACUUAUUAAAAUGGAGAGAAAUCAUGAUUUAAUUAUUAAAAAACAUAAUUCUGGUCAAUUUUCGAAAAUAAUUUUCUAUUAAAGUUACAUGAAACAAGAAAUUCGAGAAAAAUUACUUUGGACUCUAACUAACUUGGUCUCUUUUCAAAUCCCAACUCAUCUGCCAUGCAAGUGGUAUAAAAAAGGUGGAUACAUCAAUUCAUGAGAGGGAAAUUUGGAAUGGAUUCGGUUUUGUUUUUUCAUGCAAUCAAAGUUGAAAGAUUAGUUUACUUCCUGGAAUGGUGCAACUGAAGUGGGGAAAAGGGAGAAUGUGCUCUACCUCACUAUGGACUACUUAAUCACUUGAUUAAUAAAUAAUAAGAUGAGGCUAUUCACGAACUUGAAAAAUCAAUCUUGUUCAAGUGAAUAUAUUCGUGCCAAAAGCUUUGAUCUGCAUUAUUGUAUCUAGCUUCAGGGAAGACGAAUACUUGCGACAGAAAAAUCUCUGGUGAGGAAGAACGGUGUCGAAUUAUGGGGAAUACGAAUGGUGUAUAGUAAAAUUGGAUUUUCUGGUGUGAUCAUGAACACAUACAAUAACCGAUUUUCAAUUAAGCAGUAAAUUUAUAUCAGUUUCAAUGUUAUAUGAGUGUGUGCCUGUGUUAAAUGACCACUUACUUUGCGUUCACGUCCAUAUUCAAAUAUGAGAUUAAUAUUGGGUAUCAGACAGAGUCGAGCUCGAAUCUCCCACCAAUCUAAGUCUUAAUAUCAUGUUAAGUGAUCAUUUCUCCCAGAAUCUCAACGUCGGGAAAGAAAUACCAUCCAAAUAAUAUUUUCAAAGAAAUGUUAAGAGUACUAGAGCUUAGAGCAAGUCCAACACUAUGCUAAGAGGUUCCCUAAAAAUAUUAUAAAAUAAUAUGUCUUAGUGAUUUAGCACAUGAGCUCCAAUAGUAUUCCCUAUAUCCAUUCCCUAUUAUUAUAAUAAUAUUAAAUAGUUGAGGAGAGAGGGAAAAAAGAGAAGGAAAUGAUGUGGAGGAGAGAGGGAAAUGAAUAUUUUAAUGUUAAAAAUAGUUUAGAAGUGGCUAGCAUAUUCUAAAAAUAGGGAAGGAGAUGCUUGUGCUAGUGAUUUAGCACAUCACUAGCAUAGUGUUGGAGUGCAAUUUUAUCCCAUAUUCCCUAUUUUUGGAUUUAAGACUUGAUUUAGCACACCUAUUGGACUUGCUCUUACUAGGAUCAUACAUAUUAUAUAUUAACAUGCCAGAUAUAUUAGAAAAGCUCUAAUUUAAUUACGAAGAUAUAUAGUGUGAAAGCAGUGCAUGAGAGCAAAUACAACGAUCUAGAAUAUGGGGCACAUACAGAUAUUCCAGAUUAGUGGGAAAGAUGAUAAAGGCUUAUCAUCGGGAUCCAACGGCUAGGGCUUCGGAAUAUUUUCUUGGAUCGCAAUAGUAAAUAUAUAUUCUUGCGGUUCUAGAAAAAGGGGAGUAGAUGCGGGAGAAUACGAAGUUGAUGAUGUGAAGUUCAAAUUUUGCUGUUCAUUCUGCUGCCCACGUCGUUGUUCCUCUGGAAACCAAUAAGCCAAAAACUAAUGAUUGUUUAGGGGGUUUGAGGUUGUGAUCGGCAUAUCAACAUAAUCGACUGAUCAUUGUUUAAUCGACAUCGAUUUUUUUCACUUUCAACUAACCGAACACAUCAAGACAUUACCCUAAUCCAAUCACAUGUCGAUGUAAAGCAUUUAGCAAGAGAUAGGUAUAUGAUACUAGUAUAUCUAUGCUAAUUCUUAUUUAUUUUCCUUUCGGUCUUAUUGGCGCUCUAAAGCCUAAAAUAAUUUUUAUAUAAAUUCCCUCUUAUUUUAAGCUACUGCAUCUGCAGAUCGAGUGGUUGGAAGCUGGUAAUGGAUGAGGAGGACUGCAUAUCUGCAUGAGUAAAAUUUAUUGACUUUCUUAUCAGAUUUAGAAUUACAAGAAGCAUCGAUAAGUACAAUGUAAUAAAUAACCUAUUUUGACAGUCAUCAAAUUAACGAACCUCUAACAAAUGGUUGUGGAAGCUUGAGAUCAAACGGAACUGAAAUUAAAAUGAUUAUUUGUUAAUUAUUUGAAAUCAGUCUGGUCUUAUAUAUAUGAAGAAAAACAUGAAUGCAAAUUUUCAAAAAAUAAAAAUAAAACAUGAAUGAAAUUACCAACAUUUCACUAAUUUUUGUGGUUUUGCUGGGGUUUUAGUCUAGGCUAUCCUCCUGCUUGUUAAUUUAGAAAUCUAUAUGAACUAUCUUGUUUUUAAUGAAUUAUAAACACCAACUCCAUGUAUAGCUUUAGCUAUGGUAGACACAUGAUCUACUGCAGGAGCCAUGAGGUUGACCACAUUAAUAAGUUAAUUAAGAUAUGAAAAAGUUGAGCAGAGGAGCAGAGCCCAUACAUAUUCAUUUAUUCCAUUCCACCUCUGGAUGCGUACGCGCAAGCCUCUCUCUCUGUUUCAUCUCCUAUNCCCUCUGGAUGCGUACGCGCAAGCCUCUCUCUCUGUUUCAUCUCCUAUAUAAAGCACAGCAUCCAUAGCAUUUCUUCUCACAGCAAUCAUAACUAGAGAUAGAUAUAGCUACAUAUAUGUAAUAGAAUAUGAAGGACACUGUCCCUCUUUGUAAGCACAUAGACAUUUAUAUAUAGGACUAGUUGCUUAUAUACUUGGGAAGUCGGAAGCAUUCCAGACUAGGGUUUCGUAUGCUGCAACAACUACAAGUUCUCUGUGUGCAUAAGGUGUUUAAGAGGGUAAGUUUGGGAGAUGACAGAAGAGAGUGAGCACACAUGGACUUUUUGCAUGUUCAUGCUUGAAUUUAUGCGUGCUCACCCUCUAUCUGUCAUCCCCACUCACUACUCUCUCUCUCUCUCUCUCUCUCCCCCUCUCCCUCCCUCCCUCUCUCUCUCUCUCCCCUCUCUCUCCCCCUCUCCCUCCCUCCCUCUCUCUCUCUCUCCCCUCUCUCUCCCCCUCCCUCCCUCUCGGGCAUGGUUUGGAGCCACUGCAAGGGAGAUGACAGAAGAGAGUGAGCACACAUAGUACUUUCUCGCAUGAUGGAUGCCAGAAGCUCUGCGUGCUCACCCUCUAUCUGUCAUCCCGGCUGUCGCCCUUAAUCUGAGUCUUCUCUAUGUGAUUAUCUAUUAGCUGUCCUUGACCUUUUUUUAUCAUCAUAUAGCAAAUGUAGUUCGUAUAUUGCUAAUUAUUAUUCGCAUGUUUAUAUAUAUAAGAAUUAAGAUUAUAUGCGAAAGUGUGAAGAAGUGAUCAGUUCUACAUACAAUCAAGCACAAACAUUCAUAAUUUAGUCCGAUUCCUUCUUAAUGUCUGUGUCCAAUUCCCUCAAACCAUGCUAUUCAUAGCCGUGCAUUCGCCUGUGUUUUUGAAAUGUUAGGUUUGAUCUCAGAAAACCUUUUGUAACCAUGAUUCUGAUUCUACACACACAGGUCAUUACACAGUCUGUUUUGCAGGUUAGUGAAUCUGAAGAAGAGAGCACGAAUUGGAGCCUUUGGGGCUGGUGAUUGGCUGUAGCCAAUUUACGAAGUUCAGCUUGUGCAAGAAGAAUCCCUAUAGAUGUAAAAGACCAGCUAGCUUGUUUGGUUUAUACAGUGUUGGUUUUGAAUAUAUAUAGUUUCCUUACAUGGGAACUUCUUGUAAUUGGAUGUAAGCUUGUUGAGCCAAUUAAGUUACUAUGAGUCUUAUGCAAAUUAGAAAUUUUUCUCAACAAUUACCUGACUCUGCUGGAGGUCCUUAAUUACAUCUGUUAUGCUGUUAUAGUGUUAUGUCUGUUUAGUUUAGUUUUUUUUUUUUUUUUUUUUAAAUUUAACACUUGCAAGUAAGAAGAACUGGCAUAAAUUGCACUGCAUGUAGGGAUAAUGAGAGAGUUAUGAACCUCCGUUGUAAGAGAUCGAAUUGUAGAAAUUCAUGAAGUCAACAAGCCUUCAGGACAUUUUAUGUAGUGAUAGAAAUACGACAUGGAUCUUGGAGGUUGUCAAGUUAAUACCCUUAAAUUUCUUUACCCAAAAUCUUUGGAAUCGGAGAAAAUAUUAUUACUAUAUAAAUAUAAAGGUUAUUUUCAAAUAGAAAUAAUUUUGUGAAGAUAGUGUUGGGAUGUACUUUUUUUACUCUCUCCGUCAAUGAAGGUUUUACACAUUUCACAUAUUACGAGCAUCUCCUAAAUAUUUUCAGAUAAUAAUUAACACGUGUUAUAAAUAUUUAGGGAUUGUACAGAGAAAAUCAAUUCUCUAAUUGACAUUCCUUUAUUUAUAAUUUAUAAUUUUAUUCCCGUGAUGGCUAUAUUUGCAGUAAGAAGGUUCGUAUCAUUUUUUUUUUGAAAAAGAAAAAUAAUUCAAUAAUGAAAAGCCAUACGGCAUCUACAGAUAUAAUCGAAAUUGAACAAACGCAGAAUCAUAUCGCCGUUGAAUCCUUCCUUCUUCGGUAGGCAACCAAGCGAUUUUUUGAAGAGAUAUAUACAUGCUGUAAUACUCUCAAUAUUGUUUUGAGCAAUCGACCAUAAAUGCAUCACCAUACAAACCUUUAUCAUUGAAUCAGCAUCAUGAAAAUCCCGCAGAUCUGUAAUCCCGGACAUGAUGAACACACAAAAUCCAAACAAAAAUCAAACUCUCACAGAAGGAGAGACCAAACAAAACCCAAAUAAAUUGGGAACUUAUUGAAGAAAAAGAGAUUAACUAAUAGUAAGAAAAGAAGACAAUAUUGGGGCUUUCCACCGGUGAAAUCCGAUGGAAGCCCCUCGGAUAAAAGAGACAGCGGCUACUUCAAGGUGAGAAAAAUUUAGGGUUUUGUGAGAAGAGGUUCGUAUCAUUUGUUAUCGUAUAUAUUUCGAGUUUGUAUAUCCUAUUUAUAAUAAAUUAAAUUUAAUAUAAUUUCAUACUAUUCUUCAAAUACGAUGAAAUUUAUCCGAUCCAAGAAGAUUUUCUUGUUCAUUCUUCACCUACUCAUUUAUUAUAUUAACUUCUUCUUUUUUUGAAACCAAACGAGUUUCAUUAAUUCAAAACCGGAUCAUACAUCAGCGCCUCCAGAAAAAACAUUCUGGAGAAGAUUGAAAAAUACUACUCCCUCUGUCCCAUUGGAUUGUAUACAGUUUCUUUUUUAGGACGUCCCAUCAAUUGUAUACAUACCAAAAAUAGUAAACUUUUAUAAUAUAAAAAACUUAACUACAUCCACUACCUUUUUCCACUACACCCACUUUAUACAUUAAAUAUUAGUAGGUCCCACCAUUUUACUAACACCACACUCAUUUCACACAUUAAAUAUUAAUGAGUCCCACCACUUUAUUCACUUUUCUUACUUUUCAUCAUCAAAUUACACUUUUUCUUAACCUCCGUGCCACUUCCCAUACGUAUACUAAUCAAUGGGACGGAGGGAGUAGCUAACAUAUGUGCUACCUCAUUGGCAUGCCUUUUAAUAAAAAAAAAUCGCAAAAUCAGACUACCAUCAAGUUUGGAACGAUAUUCAUCCAACACAUCUCCAGCUUGCUUCCAGAUUACACUCAGUUCACCUUUUUUAUUGCAUUCACAAUAAGCAGCGAAUCAGUCUCUAUAUCAGCACUGGACAUUUGCAAAGCCCGGAGCCAUUUGAUAGUUUCAAGUACACCCCGUGCCUCGGCUUCAAACACUGUAACCUCUCCUGUAAGGUGAAGAUUUUUUCGCUUGAAUAAAUUCACUAUGAUGAUUCCGAAUAACCAGUCCUAAAGAGAAAGAACAUGAUCCAGGCACCACACUUAUAUUAACUUAUAAGGAGGUUUCAUUCAAAUAUGAGGAGGUUUCAUUCAAAAUGAAAAACACAAGGGAUAAUUUGUAAUAUUGUUAAUAAUUAUGCAUCGAAAGAAGAAAAGGAUCAACUAAUUUGAAAUAAUUGGUUUUUUAUAAAAAAAUUCAUCUAAAUUAAAAUGAGAAGAGUAUUAUUAUAAAAAUUAUAACCACUUAUCAGGAACACGGGUCAAACUCAAUCUAUUAUUACAAAUACAUUUUUGUUAAUUAACCCUCAAGUUCACCAUUGUGAAUUGUUUUAAGAAAUUAACAUACAAAUCUUAAAUUUUUCAAAAUUUCAGUGGAGUUUAAUUGAACUCGCUUUAGCCCUAUGCUGAAUGCUCCUGCUAAAUUAGCAGUGUUAAUCGUAUGUUUUCAAGUGUUUUUCUUAGCCCCUUAUUUUUGGGCCAGGCAAACGACAGUUAUAUGGAUCUAAGGAGAUAAAGUUUAGGGCCGUUGAACGGACUUGUUUGAAAUUAUUCAAGGCUACAAGUCAGCCCAAUGUCAUGGAACUUAUAGUGAAUUUUUAGUUUUCUUUAAGGAAUGAAAUUUAAGUUUUAAAGUCUAACACGAUUGUAAAAUUGCAUUACCGAGAACAAUUUAGUUUUUGAAAAAUACCGCAAAACAAUUUAGUUGUGAAUAUCGUUUUGAGUUUUAAUAUUUUGAAAUUACUUAAAAUACAAAAUUAUUCAAACAUAUAUUAAACCAACAACCACCCUCGUCCAGUGUUAUUCCUCUCCGUUUUCUUUAUUAUGUUAAAAAGUUCGAAUAUCGUUUAUUUUUUAUUAUUAAAAUUAAUUAAAAGACUAAUGAUUGAUACUCUGUUAAGAGGUGUGCUAUAAAUUAAAACUAAAGAAUUUAAUCACGUAACGUCAAGUUUAUUAUUUGGCACAUCCACUUUAAAGUACCACAUCAAAAAGACGAUUUCUCUUUUCAAAAUAUUGGCGCAUUCCCUGGAGUGGACAGCGGGGAAUUGAUAAAAUUGACUCGCUUCCACUACCUUUUUCCACUACACCCACUUUAUACAUUAAAUAUUAGUAGGUCCCACCAUUUUACUAACACCACACUCAUUUCACACAUUAAAUAUUAAUGAGUCCCACCACUUUAUUCACUUUUCUUACUUUUCAUCAUCAAAUUACACUUUUUCUUAACCUCCGUGCCACUUCCCAUACGUAUACUAAUCAAUGGGACGGAGGGAGUAGCUAACAUAUGUGCUACCUCAUUGGCAUGCCUUUUAAUAAAAAAAAAUCGCAAAAUCAGACUACCAUCAAGUUUGGAACGAUAUUCAUCCAACACAUCUCCAGCUUGCUUCCAGAUUACACUCAGUUCACCUUUUUUAUUGCAUUCACAAUAAGCAGCGAAUCAGUCUCUAUAUCAGCACUGGACAUUUGCAAAGCCCGGAGCCAUUUGAUAGUUUCAAGUACACCCCGUGCCUCGGCUUCAAACACUGUAACCUCUCCUGUAAGGUGAAGAUUUUUUCGCUUGAAUAAAUUCACUAUGAUGAUUCCGAAUAACCAGUCCUAAAGAGAAAGAACAUGAUCCAGGCACCACACUUAUAUUAACUUAUAAGGAGGUUUCAUUCAAAUAUGAGGAGGUUUCAUUCAAAAUGAAAAACACAAGGGAUAAUUUGUAAUAUUGUUAAUAAUUAUGCAUCGAAAGAAGAAAAGGAUCAACUAAUUUGAAAUAAUUGGUUUUUUAUAAAAAAAUUCAUCUAAAUUAAAAUGAGAAGAGUAUUAUUAUAAAAAUUAUAACCACUUAUCAGGAACACGGGUCAAACUCAAUCUAUUAUUACAAAUACAUUUUUGUUAAUUAACCCUCAAGUUCACCAUUGUGAAUUGUUUUAAGAAAUUAACAUACAAAUCUUAAAUUUUUCAAAAUUUCAGUGGAGUUUAAUUGAACUCGCUUUAGCCCUAUGCUGAAUGCUCCUGCUAAAUUAGCAGUGUUAAUCGUAUGUUUUCAAGUGUUUUUCUUAGCCCCUUAUUUUUGGGCCAGGCAAACGACAGUUAUAUGGAUCUAAGGAGAUAAAGUUUAGGGCCGUUGAACGGACUUGUUUGAAAUUAUUCAAGGCUACAAGUCAGCCCAAUGUCAUGGAACUUAUAGUGAAUUUUUAGUUUUCUUUAAGGAAUGAAAUUUAAGUUUUAAAGUCUAACACGAUUGUAAAAUUGCAUUACCGAGAACAAUUUAGUUUUUGAAAAAUACCGCAAAACAAUUUAGUUGUGAAUAUCGUUUUGAGUUUUAAUAUUUUGAAAUUACUUAAAAUACAAAAUUAUUCAAACAUAUAUUAAACCAACAACCACCCUCGUCCAGUGUUAUUCCUCUCCGUUUUCUUUAUUAUGUUAAAAAGUUCGAAUAUCGUUUAUUUUUUAUUAUUAAAAUUAAUUAAAAGACUAAUGAUUGAUACUCUGUUAAGAGGUGUGCUAUAAAUUAAAACUAAAGAAUUUAAUCACGUAACGUCAAGUUUAUUAUUUGGCACAUCCACUUUAAAGUACCACAUCAAAAAGACGAUUUCUCUUUUCAAAAUAUUGGCGCAUUCCCUGGAGUGGACAGCGGGGAAUUGAUAAAAUUGACUCGCAGCAAAGCCGACUCAAAAGAGAAUAUGCAAGGCGCUAGUCGAUAUUAUGUUUUAUUUGCAGUUAACAAAAGAAAUAUUUUUUUUAUAAUUCUAAUAAUAAAUAUAAUUUUUAAUUAUAGCUGAGACGCGAGGAUAACACCAGAGCAAGAACAAAUUGGGACUUGAAGAAGUUUAAGAUAAAAGUGGAAAUUCAUUUUAAAAGAAAAAGAAGGUUCAUUUAACAUCUUUUCGUUAACUUUAUAUUUAUAUUAUGGAUAUCUUGUGAAUUGUUUAAGGUAUAACAAAAACAAAUUUGAUAAUUCAACUAUCGUUUCCCUUUUCAGAGGACAAUUUUUCACAUUUAGUUUAUGUAUUUUCCACAGAUUAGGUGCAAAUAGAAUGUAACAAAUCUAUAAAAAGAUAGCAUGCGUGGAGCAUCCGGUGAAUGAAGAGAGUCGAAACUGAAAAAGCAACAGCUCCAUCUUAAACUCGAAAGUAUCAUAUUUAAUUCAGUCAUAUUAAAUUUAAUUUAUAACAAUAAUAAAACGAAACGAACUAAUGUGGGCAGCAGGCAUGAGCAUGACAAACUUCACGUGCUACCUUAGCAAAUUACAGCAGCAGACCUUGAAAUGUGUAAUAAAACCCACAUGGUUUUCUUUGACUUCUUUUUUCUUUUAAUAUUUUGCGGUAACUAUACAAGUAGGAGUAUUUGUUUUCUUUUAAGGCUUGAUUCAAAAACCCUUCUUGAACUAGUGUUACUAAAGUUUUAAAGUAGCAGUGCAGCUCAUUUUUUGAAAAUGGGCCGGGUUUAAAAAUUUGACAACUUCUGAGUUCAAAUCUAGCCAUCAAAGUGAAAGUCCAUUUUUUAUUUAUCAAUAUUGUUUAUAUAAAAUUUACAAGCUCUCUUUAAACGGUUGUCGGUGGUGGGUAUUCUUAUUUCUGUUUCUACAGAUGUCUAAAGAGGGGUUCCCUUAAUAAGAUGUAAUUUCUACUCUUGUUGACCUAUUUCUAUAAUUUUUUUUUCUUCAUCGGUUUAUGGAACCAUUAGAAUUAUGAAGCCAUGGAACAAGAAAUAUGUAGGUGAGAAAACUAAUUUUCCUUUUUUUACAUUUUCUCCUAUAAUAACGCACAACUUUUUUCGAUGAUCAAAUAUUCAAAGUAAAAUAAUCAUCAUUGCUUAAAUAAUUUAGACUUGAUUACCAAAAUAACUAUUAAACUUAUGUGAUUUUUUCAUUUUAACCAUAAAACUGUUUUUGUUGCAGAAUAAUGCAACUAAGUAAUACAAAAUCAAUUUGAUAUAACCCAAUUUUAAUGAAUCUCUAACCAUGGUUAAUUCAUAGCUGACAUGAAUGUCACAUGCAGCACAAGCAGCACAAUACAUCAAUUUUUUAAUUUAAUUUUAAAAUUUUACAUAAUUUAUUAUACAUACAUAAAAAGUCAUCUAUAUUUACAUUUUCUUUUUGUGUAUAAAAAUUCAAAUAAUAAAUUUUUAUUUAGAAAAAAUAAUAAAAUAAUUUAUGAAACUAAAUUUUUUAGAAGUAUUAAAAUGCGUGUCAAACUCUCGUUUUCAGAUCACCAGAAUAUUGCAAACUACCACAAUAUUUUAAUAAUGCUAAAAAGAAUAAUAUAGUGUUUUUUUAGCAAAGAAUAAUAUAGUGUUAAUAAUCAAAUCUGAAUCUAAAAUCAGUGACAAAAAAAAUUCCGAACCUAACAUCAGUGACAAAAAAAAUCAUAGUUUAGUGCUAAGUUUCUAAAUACACAAUAUGUUUGGUGGCGAAAAAAUCUAUUUUUUCUUAAAUAAAAUUAUCAAUUCGAUAUAAGUUAAUAUAAAUCGCAUGAAAAAUAAUCGAUAUACAGUACUGAUAGACGGUGGUUUCAAAAAAUCACACUAACAUCGUCGCCUUCGAACAUAAGUUUUAGUAGGCUCUGCGUUUGUGUAGAUUGUGAAUUAGGAUUUUGACCCUUAAUGAGAUAGUAAAAAUAUUAAUAAAACCCAUGUACCAAAUAAUUUAAUAAAUAACUUGAUAAUAUACGUGGCAUCCAUCUUAAUUUUAACUUAACUAUAGUUAUGAACUAGUAAGAUUGGGUUUUUUAAAUAAAAUUUUCUAAAGUUACUUGCAUUAUCCUGCAACAAAUAUACUAUUAUGGUUAAAUUGAAAAAAACACGAUAGUUAUAUAAUUUUUUUGAUAAUUAAGUCAAUAAUUUAUAAGUCUCCACACACUUUAUAAAUUUAUAAAUUCCGAUUUACAUAUCAUCUAAAAUUCACAUUUUUACUUCAAUCAAGAAGUAACUUAUUUUAAUUUUAUUCAAACAUGCCCGAGCAGUGGCACAUUUCAGUAUCGAUUAUUGAUCAAGAAAAUCAUACUUCGUCCGUCUCAGUACGUUCUUUACGUUAUUAUUUGACACGUAUAUAGAGAUUUCUCUAAAGUAGAGUUUCAUAACAUAUUUUAAUUUUUUUUAAAGAAAUUUUACUUUUUAUUUAAACUUUUAUCCAAAAAUAAUUAAAAAUAAAAAAAUUAUGAAAUUAUACUUUAUUAGAGUCUCAAAAUACGUGUAAAUAGUAAAUAUAAGCAACCUGUUAGGACGGAGGAAGUAAAUAUUUCAUGUUCUUAUACAUGUUUACUUAAAAUAAGUUAUGAUUUUUUUUGAAGUUUAAUAAAAUAUUAGUUGGAGCCUGUUAAGUCGGGAGUUUUUAUCCUACUUUAAACUGAAAAAUUGUAAUAUAAGCUCAAUAUCAGCAUGCAUAUGAUGAUAUGAAUAUAUGAUGCAUGCAGUGAGAAAAAAUAUAAAAAUACUCCCGCAUACAAGAAUAACAAACGGUCCGACCGCCUCUUUCACAAGUCACCGCCUUUACCUGCACACAAUACUGCGUGGACACAGUAUAAAAAAAUGUGUGUGUCAUAUAUAUCCCCCAUCUUAUUCAAACUUCCUCAUGUCUUCAACACCUUGCAUUCACACCCUAUCCUAAAAUUCCAAUCUUUUCAACUCCCCCACUUCUCUCAUGCUAUCAUAUUUAUCGUUUUGAUUUUCUACCCAUUAUUCCCUUAAAAAAAACAAAGUACUCCCUCCGUUUCAAAUUAGAUGUCCACUUUAAAAAAAUCACACAGUUUAAGAAAAGCGGGUGUUCAUAAAUUAAUUGCAUUAAAUGAUCAAAAUAUGUGGAGUGGGAUUGAUCUAGGAAAUAUAAACAAGGGAUAUGUGGAGUAAAAUUGACUUUGGAAAUAUGAUUUUGCAUUGAAAGUUGAAGUGGACAAGUAAUAUGAAACAAUUUUUUUUUUUAAAUGUGAACAUGUAAAUUGAAACGGAGGGAGUAUAUGGAAACAUUUUUGUUUAAAUUUUAAAGUGCAAUGUAUUAAAAAGAUUCUUAUUUUAUGACAAACAUGUGUGACAAGGUGGGCCGUUUUCUGUACUUGUAAUCUCGUUUGUCAACUCAAUCUUCCUACGCGUUCACACCUCCCAUGCUUCUAUUUUACACAAUUCAACUUGAACAACUCUUUCCACCAGUCUUUUAUAUUUCCACAUAAAACUCCUCUCUUCCCAACUUAAUUCUUGUAUGCACAACUGACUCAGAGGUGCACUAGGUCAAAUGAGUGAAAAUAACAGCACAGCUCCAAGAAAAAGGCAGAGAAGAUUGACCAGACCCAAGAUUGAUGAAGAUGAUAGUGUUGAAGCAACUGGGCUGCAAGGAGAGGUUGUCAAGACAAAAGGGCUGAAAGAAAUCAUCACUUCUUUGUUGUUGCUUGAGAAUCAAGAAAAGUGUGGUCCCCAGAAAAAGUUGAGGAAUGCUGUGAAAGCUGAUUCUGGUGAUGAUGUGGUUUUUAAUGGUGGAGGGUCUCAGAGGAGGCUCUGGGUGAAGAAGAGGUCGAAAGCGUGGUGGGAGCAAUGCAACAGUGAAGACUUUCCUGAGGAGGAGUUCAAGAAGGCCUUUAGGAUGGGAAAAGGGACUUUUGAGAUGAUUUGUAAGGAGCUGAAUUCUGUUGUGGUGAAGGAGAACACUAUGUUGAGGGAUGCUGUACCGGUGAGGCAACGCGUGGCGGUUUGUGUGUGGAGAUUGGCUACUGGGGAGCCUUUGAGGCUUGUGGCCAAGAGGUUUGGAUUGGGGAUUUCGACUUGUCAUAAGCUGGUUCUUGAGGUUUGUUGGGCGAUCAAGGCGGUUUUGAUGCCUAAGUAUCUGAAAUGGCGCGAUGAGGCGGUUCUGAGGAAGAACAGAGAUGAGUUUGAGAUGGUUUCGGGGAUUCCUGAUGUGGUGGGAUCAAUGUAUACUACUCAUAUUCCUAUAAUUGCUCCGAAGAUGAGUGUGGCGGCUUAUUUCAAUAAGAGGCAUACUGAGAAGAAUCAGAGGAGUUCUUAUUCGAUUACAGUUCAGGGUGUGGUGGAUUCGAGUGGGGUGUUUAGUGAUGUCUGCAUUGGUUGGCCUGGCUCGAUGGCUGAUGAUCAGGUGCUGGAGAAGUCUGCGCUUUAUCAGAGGGCUAAUGGAGGGCUUUUGAAGGGGAAGUGGAUUGUUGGGAGUUCUGGUUAUCCGCUGAUGGAUUGGGUUUUGGUGCCUUAUGCACAGAAGCAACUGACUUGGACUCAGCACGAGUUCAAUGAGAAGAUCGCGGAGAUUCAGAUGGUGUCAAAGGAUGCAUUUGCGCGGUUGAAAGGAAGGUGGGCUUGCUUGCAGAAGCGAACUGAGGUGAAACUUCAGGACUUGCCUGUGGUGCUGGGAGCUUGUUGUGUUCUGCACAAUAUAUGUGAAUUGAGGAAUGAGGAGAUGGAUCCCGAGUUGGCGAUUGAGCUUGUUGAUGAUCAGAUGGAUCCUGAGAUUGCAGUCAGAUCAGUGAGUGCAGUCAAGGCAAGGGAUUCAAUUGCUCAUAAUCUUCUGCACCAUAGUCAUGCCAGCACUGCUUUCUUGACUUGAGUACAAGUAGCCUUGUUCACCUCCAAGUGUUUCAUUUCAGUUUAUGCUUAUUAGAAGUAGCUUUUAUGUUAUAUCCUCUAUAAAGUGGAAUGCAUACCCAGGUUUUACCAUAGUUCCUAAACUGAAUCAACUGACUUAUCAAAAUAGAAUUCGUAAUUCUUGUGUUAUUGUCAUUGCUAUAAACAUCAACUCAAUGACUCGAUUCCUAUGUUUGUUUGUUUUCUGCUUCUCAGAAGCACAAACACCUGCUCUAGUGCAGAGUAUGUUCAGACUUUUACGAUACUGAUUCAGGAAGGGCAUUGCGUGAAUGUGAUAUGAUCCGCGAAGGGCCAUGGGUUUCUCGACAGAUCGAUUGUUCUUUGAACGAAAGUUCUAGUAAUUGUAACUAGCUUAGUUUUGUCCUGUAUUCCCUCUCUUUCACUGAUAUUGUACAGGGCAGCUGGUCCAGAACAUACGAAUGAUAGUAGUAUACGUUCAGCAAGGAAAAAAACACUGGACGUAAAAACCUAGGAUGAGGCAAUUUUACGCUGAAUGAUACUAUAACACCCCUUGUAUAUAUAAAAACUUAGGGUUAACCUGUCUAGCGUUUUUUUUUCCUCCCCCGAAACCUAUGUAGCAUACAUAUACAAGGGAACUCGACCAUUAUACAAAUGGUGAUGUUUGUUUCCAUAUGAAAGGAAGGAAUUGUUAUAUUCUGAAACAAGAGGAGCUGCAUAUACUCCUAAUCUUUGUUGGGGUCAGUGAGUUGGUUUGGUAUAUAUCAAAGGGUCCAUUUUUUAAAACAAAAGAAUAAUCUAAUUGUUAGAAUGUUAGGUUAGAUUCCAAGUUUUGGACAUCUUGUUGGUUUAUAGAUAAAACUUAUGUACAUAUGUUAUCAAUACAUCACCAGGGUAUUUGAUUGCAGAUAAACAAUAUUCAGGACGGCAUUAUUCAUGCUUCACAUACAUCCCAUUCACACUAGACCAGAAUAUAUUAAACAGAUUUUCUUAGUAAAAUAUAUACACAGGAAUUUAUAGGAUGAGAUGAAUAAAGAUACCUUAAAAUCUUGAACAAGGCAUAGAGCUUGCAGCUUCUUGGCUAAGCAGUAUAAUUUCGCCCCCUGGAAUAUUCUAAUGUUCUAAAUUCGGGUGAGAUGGUGUCUAGACGCUAAACGGACCUAAAUCUUGAGAUGAUGUCUAGACCCUAGACGGACUGAAAUCCAUCCAAUUUCAAUUCGAUCCUUGACGUACCUAGUCUAGACGGACCUAAAUCCAUCCAAUUUGGUCCCUGACGUACCUAAACUGAUUCGAGCCGGUCCUCGACAUUAUUUGAACGUUUCUUUUUUAAAAUCAAUGAAAAAAAAAGGAAGCAGUGUCUGGCAACCAAUAGUAUAAAAUUUUAACUUUCCCCUGUUUGGUUAUUAUGACACUCAGGUCUCAGCUGUCUGCCUGUCUUGGCCUUGCAUCUAUUCCUAAAGUCAUGGAAGAUUGUUCUUUUAUGCUACUUUGUCAAAAAUAAUUCAACAAUCACCACAUGGGUUUUCCUGUAUUUAAUAAUUGAUAUGCUUGGAACAUUGUUCCCAAUCUCUCUCCAAUAUCAGCAGACUGCAGCUAUAUCUUGUGUAAAAUUUUGGGAGGAUCAAUUAUCUACUUUUGGAUCAUUUUUUUGAAUAAAUUAAGUUAAUAAUUUAGCAAAAAUAAUAAGAAGAAUACAAUAUAUAUCUCCAGACUCGCAAGAAAUCAGAAGCAAUGCAUUUUAGCCUGCUGUAGAACAGUAUCUAUGAGCCUGAAAUUACCACUUUCCUUAACCUUGGAUGAUAUAAGCAAAGAACAAGUCCAGACCAAACAUCUAUCUAGCUAGAUACCCAUAUUCUCUCAGAUAUUUCCUAUAAAUUAAGACCGGAAGCAGAAAUCUAUUAGUAGUCAACAAAAAGUGAGUAUUGACCAGAAUGCACUAUUAAACCUGAAUGCAGAUCUUCACACAAUUAAAUAAUACUGCUAAGCAAAGACUCCUUACUAUUCAUCAAUUGGCAAGGGGUGUACAAUAUUGUAUUGCCACGUGAUAACAGCCAAUAUUAGCUACCCGGUACAAAAAACUAUCCGUCUGCUAGUUGCUUAUAGGCGACCAACCUACAUUGUUUACAAUCACAUUUCUUAGCAUGACAAUCACAGGGCACCUGCAAACCGCUCUUCACGACCAGGUGGCAGCCGAAACGGAAAAUGGGCAAAGUGUAUGCUCAAGACAGAUGAGUCUGGUUUUUUGUUAUCAAACUUGUAACCUAAAAAUGAUUCAACAUCAUUAAACCAAAUGAAACUAUGUCAGGAAACCUAUAUUUAAGUCCAAUUCAUUUCAUAAUUAAUUGAACAGACUUGCUGUGUUCCAUGGUAAAGUUAAACAUAAGCAUUGGCAAAAUGAAGCCUAGGAGUAUAGUCAUGUAUGAUACUUAAAGUUAUUUGCUAGCAUCUGUAGUUCUUGAAUGCCUUGUACCCAGGUAAUAUAAUCCAAAAAGAAAUUAGAAACUGCACUUAACCUUGUAGAGCUUCCAGAGCAGUUAAAGCACACUUCGCAUCUGUAAAUUCAACAAAGCACAAAACCAAUGCCUUAUCUCCAGCCUGCAAUUUAUCAAAUUACGAGAAUAUGUACGGUAUAUAAAUAAUUAAAAACACACAAAAAAAAUUUUAAAAAAAAAUUCCAAAAUUUAUUACAUAUUUCAUCAGCUAAUUCUAUAUGAAAGCGCGGGCUUUUGUAAACGAAGUGCACUAAUUAUUUUAUAUAUAAAUAUAUAAAUUAACACACACACACACAUUAAGAUAACUGGACAUGCUAAUUACUAUCUACAAACUGGAAAAAAAAACUAGGCCCAUGUUUCAUAGUUAGGCCUCGCGAUUUGACACAUGACACGCUAACACGAAACCAAACAUGAAAAAAAUGGAUAUGAGUUUUGAUUUUCGAUACACGAAACACGAAAGUACACGAACACAAAAUUACACGAUAGAUUUCGUGCUGGAUACGGGUUUUUAUUUUGGGCACACAAAAUUUUUUAUAUAUAACUUUUAUUUUUAUAUGUUAUAAUAUAUUAAAUAUAUAAUUAUGUAAAAAAAAUAAAUUUAUAUGUGUAUGUAGAUAUAGAUUUGUACGCAAACAUAAAUAAUUAUAUACAAAAAUAUAUAUUUUUGUAGAAUUAUACAGAAUAAUAUAUUUUAAAGAUGUUUUUUGAAAAAAAUUAUAUUAAUAUUUAUGUAUAAAAUGUACACAAAACACCCAUAUGAUGACUAUAAGUAUUUGUUAAGCUAGUCGAUUAUUCAAUUUUGGUUAAGCUAGUCAGAUUCCUUUUUUUCGUAUGAUGACUAUAAGUCUAGAUGUAUAAUGUAUAAUGUAUAAUGUACAAGGCUUUUAAAAAGGCUGGAUAAAAUAAAAUAUUGGUCCACUUUAAAAAUAUAUCCAGAUCUAAUAGAAACACACAUUUACAAAAAGGCGCGCUUUUUAUAGCGUUUUUGCGCUUCAGCAUCAUCCACAUAAAGCGGGGCUUUAGCUUUUGUAUUUGCUCUGCGCUUUUAAAAAACAAAUCCCAAUAGGUGCGCACUUUGUGCUUUAGCGGCACUUAAUCUUUUGAUAACCAUGAUCUUACAUGAUAAAAAACUAAUUCUUAAUAAUGACUAGAUUACCAAUAUAUACUUUAUUCACGCUCCCAAGCUUUUUAAGGGAUGAAUGCAGAGGGAUGUAAUAGGAAGUAAGUGAAAUGAAAUGCAAUAAGUUUCAUUAUCUAGCUCCUGAAAUUAAAAAAAGUUAAGUGAAACUAUUCUCAUUAAUUUGGUCCCGAGUUGCAACGGAAACAUAGAAUUCACUGUCAAACACAAUCUUAUCCUUAUAGUCAAGAAGUUAAAUUUUAGUUUGUAAGGGUAUAUUGGUAAUACUUUUUUUUUUUUAAAUUUAACUCCGCCGCUUGCUUUCCUCUUCAUCCCACUUUUGGGAGUGGAAAUUUUGGAAUGAAAGUUUAUAAAAAUUUCACUUGCUUCCUUUACUACAAAAAUAACUCAAGAGCAUGAAUAGGACAUAUUACAUAAGUUGCUUUCCUCUUCAUCUGCUUUACUCCCUCUAAAAAACUCAGGAGCAGGGUGUAACUUACUCAUACCUAAUUUCUAAUAUAUUUCUUAUUUAGGAUACAAAUCCAUGUAUCUACAUAAUAACAGAAUACAUUUAAAUAACUUUUUUAUUUCCUCUGCUGUGCGCUUCUCCCCUGCUCUAGAAAAUUCAACCUCAAGUUUUGGAGUGAACACUAAUCUAGAAGGCUCAAAUAUAACAACUGAAGAAACUAACCCGCAAAAGCCAAAAGCCAAUGGUAGAUACUAUAUAUAAACAUGACUGCACAGAAAUGGGGUGCAAAAAGAGAGUCAACAAGGAAUAGUAUGGUACUCCAUUUAGACAUCUUCACAUAUGAAAAUAACCUGAACAAAAUUGAAUUAGGAACAAGUUCAAUGUUGUCAACUAUUGGCUUUGGUGUAUUCUUACUUCUAACGAUAUGUGGUCUUUAAUCUAGUUGAUCCACUAAAUCUUUGAUAUUCAUCGUAUAAAUGUUCAUGUUCCUUCUCCGAUUCCUGUCAAUUGAGUCCCAGUAAUUAUAAUCAUACAAAUACUAACGUAUAAUGAUACUCCAGAGCAAGAUAUAGUCCUCACAUACUAUGAGAUCUAAACGAGACAUGCUAUUUUGUUUUCGUCACAGAGUCCAAACUAUGAUAUCCAUAAGAAAUUAGGAUAUGGUCGACUGAAGGGAAAUAAAACCUUUUAAAAGCCCAUUUAAUAUACCAAUUAAAGGCCUAUCUGAGAAUUGAAAAAAAAAUUCAAACAAUGUUGUGUUAUUACAAAAACCUCAGGCUGAAAUGCAUUUCUAUAAAGUUAUAAACAAUUUCAGGGCGAGGUCUAUAAUUUUCUAGAAUUUCUGAGUACCUACCUGUAGUAUGCCAAUAUUGUAAGUAGAUAAAAAACAACAACUAUAAGGUUAGGUGGUUAAAGAUAAAUCAAGUGAAAAUAACAGGGCAGGGCAGGGAGGUUGUGAGCGGCGGCAAAACUUUCAGAACUUCCAAGGCACGUCUGUCUUUCUUUUUUCUUUUUUUUUCCUUUUCGAUGACUACAUAACACGGACCAAUAUAAAUCGAGAUCUUACCGGUCAUCUAUUGCCGUCUAGGGACUGGUCAAACUUGACGGGAUAUGAUAACAUGGAGCAACGGGACCAUUAUUUGUUCACUGUAAGCUAGAUCUUGUAACAGAGGGACCAAAAUCUCUGAAGAAAUAUUUUAAAACACCUCAGACAUAGACCUGGUCUAUCCUCUUUUCUUGAAUAACGCAUUAAAACCACGAGACCUAGCUCAAUUACAAGGAGUAUAAGGACAACAAAAGCAGAACGAUUCACACAAGCAUUUCUUUUGGAACUGGCCAUCUUUGUUCAUAUAACAGAUAAAUUCAUUUUGUGUAUUCAGCUUCCAUCAAAGUCCUUGUACUCGCAAAAACGUUUUUACUGGUAGAAAACAUCUGAAUGCCGCCAAAUUACUGAUGGGGUCAGUUACAUGGCUACAGCAUGGGAGUUGCACUUAAACUAAUCGAGCAGAAUAAAACAUUCAUUCAUUAAUUUUACUUUUGGGUAAGAUCAAUCACAAGAAAUUUAAUUUACUCGCACACACUAGGGAUGGCAACGGGUCGGGUCGGGUUCCUCGAGAUCCAGACCCGAUCCAUUAUAUUUCGGUUCGGGCCGGGUCCGGGUCCGGGUCUGGAAAAUGAAGAUCCAGAUCCAAUCCGUCGGGUUUUUUCGGGUUUCGGUUUGAGUUCGGGUCUAAUUCGGAUACUUUAAAAAAUAAAAUAAAAUAAAAAUUAAAGAUUAUAUAUCUAUAAAAAAAAUGUGAUGAUUGAUUUUUUUUUAAAUUUAGGAAAAUAAAAAAGGGUUUUACAAGUUUCGUUUAGUACAAUAAACACGUGAAACAUGUUAACUUAAUUGUAUACAAUCAUUCAACUUAUCAUUUAUAUUUUAUAUUUUUAUUAUAUUUAGAUUUUUUAAUGCACCAUAAUUGAGAAAAAUAUUGAUGAAAUGAAUAUAAGUUUUGUAUUGGGCAUAUAAAAUUAAGUAAAAUGUUAAUAUUCAUACCUAAUAAUUCAUAAUAUUUCAAUAUAUAUACUCUACAUUAAACAUAUAAUAUAUAUAUAUAUGUGUGUGUGUGUGUGUGUGUGUGUAUAAUAUAAUGUAUCGGGUUUUUUUCGGGUUUCGGGUUCGGAUCGGGUUUAAAUCGGGUUUCGGGUUUUGGGUCGGGUCUCGGGUCGGGAUACCUAAGAUCCAGAUCCAGAUCCAAACUCUUUCGGGCCUGAAAAUAAGAUCCAGAUUCAAAAAUAUCGGGUUCGGGUAGACCCAAUCGGGUCGGAACGGGUCGGGUAAAACUGUCAUCCCUAGCGCACACAUUUAAGGAUCGAAUCCCUGACCUUUGGGAACUAAGAAUGAGGGGUAUUCAUUAUUGAAUUUCUUAGCAACCGAACAGCUAUUACAAAACUUGAACAGCCAUUACAAAACUAAAAUACAAUUGUGCAGAGUAAUAUGAUUAUAGGUACAAUUACAAUACUAGUUUGUGAGAAAAAGCAACCAACUUUUGCCUGCUUCCUAUUUUAUGGUUUAAUCAUUGUCUUCCUUGUAAAUAUAAGAAAGAAAGUUAUACCAUUAAAAUCCUCAAAUAAACUUGCUUUCUUGUUGGUACCAUUUACACGAUAUUACUACAAAUGUUUCUAACUAAACAUCAAUUUUACGUACUUAAAUGGUAGAGUGGGGGGAAUAAAUUGUGGUAGUUGCAAAAAAGGGCAUAAACUUAAUUGUUAUUUUUUGAUAAUAUUGUUUAAUAAUCACAGCAGGAUACAUAUGUAAGCACGAGAUGUUGCCUAACAAUUGACAGAGUAAAAUGGCAGACUUACCCGUCUAGGCUCCUUAUGAACAACUCUAAUUUCUCUGAACCCAAUGAAAGGACGAAAAAGAUCUAAAUUCGAAAUCAAGGAAUAAGAACAGAAAAGAAGCUUAAUAAUUAGAUAGAUACAGUCAAAAUAUUUCUGAAAAUGGGAAACGAAUUUUACUUAUGGCCCAGACACCAACGAGAAGUUAGUCAUGCAGAGAUACAGCAUAUAAUUAUAAUAUAAAAAAGAAGGAUACGGCCUACUUCUCUUCUGGUACAGUCAUGUGGGAGCCCAUCGACAAAUAAAACAUUUGACUCUUUCUUUAAAGCUGGAACUGGAACCGGAAGGUCAUCGAUAUUUCCAUAAGAGGCAGGCCUUUCAUUUAAUACGCCGGGGAGAGUUGAACCCAAAGGAACAUCUCCUCUCGGAGCAAGUAAACUCGGAUCUUCUACAGAAGGUGUGUAGCUUCUCAUGCUUGUUCCAGUCAUAUAUCCACCCGGAGCAGGAUCUGAACGAACACCAACACCAUCAUUUACACCAUAAGCUCUACUACGCAAUGGCAAGAUCUGCACAUUAAUUCACAGGCAUUCAAACUUUAAUCUAUUCAAAAUACAAUUUAUGGUAUGUUAUGAAAUAACGCUCUGGUAUUACAGGUAANUCAUCCCUAGCGCACACAUUUAAGGAUCGAAUCCCUGACCUUUGGGAACUAAGAAUGAGGGGUAUUCAUUAUUGAAUUUCUUAGCAACCGAACAGCUAUUACAAAACUUGAACAGCCAUUACAAAACUAAAAUACAAUUGUGCAGAGUAAUAUGAUUAUAGGUACAAUUACAAUACUAGUUUGUGAGAAAAAGCAACCAACUUUUGCCUGCUUCCUAUUUUAUGGUUUAAUCAUUGUCUUCCUUGUAAAUAUAAGAAAGAAAGUUAUACCAUUAAAAUCCUCAAAUAAACUUGCUUUCUUGUUGGUACCAUUUACACGAUAUUACUACAAAUGUUUCUAACUAAACAUCAAUUUUACGUACUUAAAUGGUAGAGUGGGGGGAAUAAAUUGUGGUAGUUGCAAAAAAGGGCAUAAACUUAAUUGUUAUUUUUUGAUAAUAUUGUUUAAUAAUCACAGCAGGAUACAUAUGUAAGCACGAGAUGUUGCCUAACAAUUGACAGAGUAAAAUGGCAGACUUACCCGUCUAGGCUCCUUAUGAACAACUCUAAUUUCUCUGAACCCAAUGAAAGGACGAAAAAGAUCUAAAUUCGAAAUCAAGGAAUAAGAACAGAAAAGAAGCUUAAUAAUUAGAUAGAUACAGUCAAAAUAUUUCUGAAAAUGGGAAACGAAUUUUACUUAUGGCCCAGACACCAACGAGAAGUUAGUCAUGCAGAGAUACAGCAUAUAAUUAUAAUAUAAAAAAGAAGGAUACGGCCUACUUCUCUUCUGGUACAGUCAUGUGGGAGCCCAUCGACAAAUAAAACAUUUGACUCUUUCUUUAAAGCUGGAACUGGAACCGGAAGGUCAUCGAUAUUUCCAUAAGAGGCAGGCCUUUCAUUUAAUACGCCGGGGAGAGUUGAACCCAAAGGAACAUCUCCUCUCGGAGCAAGUAAACUCGGAUCUUCUACAGAAGGUGUGUAGCUUCUCAUGCUUGUUCCAGUCAUAUAUCCACCCGGAGCAGGAUCUGAACGAACACCAACACCAUCAUUUACACCAUAAGCUCUACUACGCAAUGGCAAGAUCUGCACAUUAAUUCACAGGCAUUCAAACUUUAAUCUAUUCAAAAUACAAUUUAUGGUAUGUUAUGAAAUAACGCUCUGGUAUUACAGGUAACAAAAACUCCCUUCCUAUCAUUAUAUAUAUUUGCCAUUUCUACAAUAAAAGUGAGAGUUAAAAUAUGUAAAGUAUUACAGGUACAACUAGAAUGUAUUAAGCUUACAUCUUUUUGCAGCACAUCAGACGAACUUCCAUGCAGAUCACUUGAGGCCCACCCAUGAUGCACUGGUAAUGCAGGCGUUGCAGAUGACAAGUAGCCAGGAAAACUUGAUGGUGGAAUACCAGGCGUUGCAGAUGACAAGUAGCCAGGAAAACUUGACGGUGGAAUGCCAGCUGAUACAAUAGCCACAAUAAUCAGAGAUAAUUAUAAACACUAAAAUACACAUCCCCAUUAAAACAAAAAAAAUGAUAGCCAACACGAGAAAGGUAAAGCCGUAAUGUGAAUUGAAGUCACAACUUGCUUACUCUAUAACUCAAAGAAAAACACAAAAUCUUUAAUAAAUUCAAUAAAACUUUACACAAAAACAUUCCCCCAAAUUCUUAUCUAGCUAGCUGAAUUUCAUCUCUAACUUCCAAAGAAAAUGAUCAACAGCACAAUGAGCAAUCCCUUAAGGACCCAGCAUAAACAAAAAUCAAAAACAUGUUCCCAAAAAAACCCAAAAUGCAGGACCUUUAAUAACCACAAAAUGGGUAUUUUACAGUAGCUACAAACACCCUAUUUCACAAUCAAUCCAUCAAAAAUCACAACCUUAUAUAUGCAUACACACAUAAACAUAAAGCCCAUGACUUUAAUUUAAAGGGUAGUCAAUUCUUGAAUAUUAACAACAAUUAAUACAAAAAUUAAUGUACAGCAAAACUAAAAUUAGGGCUAGGGUUGAAAAGGGUUACCUCGAUCAGCAGAAGAAGCAGCGUAUCGCCAGUAAGGAUCCGCCAUGAGCACAGCUAUAUUUUGUAAUUUGGGUUUUUUAGUUUUAUUUGGGACAAUAAAGUUUUUAUUUUAAUGUUUACUAUAUCUUUUUUGGUAAAUAAUGUAAAAAAAAAAAAUGUGUGCUUUGGGCUGUGAGUGAUUGUUUUCGAAGCAUGGGAUUUGAAAGUGGACAGUAGUCCAUGGACAUGGGCCUUUCACUUUUAUAAUUUUUUUAAAGUUUAUUAAAGACGGAAUUUUUGUUUUGCAAGCAAAUAAUUAUCAAAUUGCAAAAUGACAUUCUUCGAUAAAAAAUUCCGGGACCAUUAAAUUGCAAGCAGAUUUUUAUUUUAUUUUUUUCUUUAAUGCUAGAUCACAAGCAGCUUCUCGACUCUGAAGGAGAGGGACAUCACAAACAUUUUUUGUAAUUACAAUAUAACUCUUAUUUUCUUUAUAUUUAAAAAUAAAUAGAAAUAUCCUUAAAAAAAAAGAAAUUGAAAUAAAUCAAAGCAAACCAAACAUACUCAGUAUAUCGCGCUUAGAGCAGGGUCUGAGAAGAGUAAGAUGUACGCAGCCUUGCCCCUGCAAUCAAAGCAGAGAGACUGUUUCCGUGAAGACCCCCGGCUUAGUGCCCAAUAAAUAAUAUAAUGUGUGAUAUAAUAUUAAUAUAUCUUAGCCCAUGGCCUUCUUCACAUGGGAUUUACCUAAAUAGUUCCCGUUUGUUGAUGAUGGGUAACAAUGAUCUGAAACGGUGACAAUGAUCUGAAACGGAGAUAUCAAACUGGAUAAGAACUGCCACUAUUUGCACACUUUUUUGAAUUAACUUGAAUUCUUAUUGUGUAAUCCAUCUAUGUCGGUUCUGCUUCAUCAAACUCUUCGACGAAACAAUAUAUGUGAUGAUCCAUUAAUACGCACUAAACCUUAUCAAAUCUUUCGACGAACCACAUCCGUGAUGAUCCAUUAGUAAAAAAAGAAAUUGAAAUAUAUUUUGUAAAAACUGAUGCUUAUUAUAAUAUUUAUAUAUAUUUUUUUUCAAUUUUUAUUUUCAGUUCUAGUUAAAAUAUAAUUCUGAAAUUGUCACCAAAUAUUUUUAUUUUCACAGAAAUAAAAUUUUGACUUCUAACAUUACAAAUAAUAAUAUUUCUUAUAUGUAUUAAAAAAAUAUUCAUAUAUCAUAUGAAUUAUUAAAAUAAAAUACAUCUUUUGAAUAAAUUUCUGUGCUUCGUGACAUCUGAAAUCGGUAUAAUAUUAUUUGGAACAUAUAUUUUUAAAGAAUAUACCAAUUUUAAUUUCAUGUAUAAAUAUUAUAUACGUGUAUUUUAUAAUUUAAAGAACCAGAUUUUGGACAUGAUAUAUUUUCGUUUUUGGUCCGACAGGGCCAAUCCAACCAGUCUAACCAAAGGUCUAUGUCCAGAAAGUUGUGUAACCCUAGACACCCAAUUAUUUGCUAGGAUGUUAAAGUAGCACAGGAGUGCAAGAACUUGAUAUCAUCACUCAUCAGUACGUGAUUCCAUUAAGAAGUACACACUGACGCUUAAAUAGAAAUAUCAAUGGAAGAAGAGAGAACCUUGAACCCAGUUGCCGAGAACAUACAUCAAGGUUCUUCGCUUAGUUCGUAUCGUAUUGUGUCAUGUUAGCAUAUCAAAUUGCAUGACUCUAUAUAGUACAUAAUUAUAUAUAAAUACUAGAUAGUCAUAUUUAUGCCAUAUCAAUGCAUGAAACAUGGAUUUUAUUGACCACAAUAUCAUCUUUGGAUGGGUAAAAUCUAUAUCUUUGUAUAUUAUAGUCAGGAACAGAUCUAGUAAGAUGCGGGGACAUGUGUUUUUUCUAAAUUGUUUUUAAAACUUUUUUAGUGUUCUAAAAUCUUACAAAAUUAUUGAAGUGCCUCCACGAAUAUAAGCACCGCCCCUGAUUAUAGUCGAGAGGUACCCAUAUAAUCCUUUUUUUUUUUUUUGCUGAUUAUCCUUGUGGGAUGUGAUGUUUUAAUAACACAACUUCUAGAUGGAUGGCACUUUGUUUUUCUUCUUCUUUUUUCUAAAGGGAACUUUUGAAAACAGGAGUUGUGAGAUAUCUAAGAGAUGCCCCGCCAGCUCACUAUCUGGUGAAAAUAGAAUCCUUCUCAAGGCUUGCUAAUUCAGGGCUUGAAAAGUGUGAAUCAGCUGUGUUUGAUGCUAGUGGUUAUAAAUGGUACUCAUCAUAAUUAUCAUUCAGACCCGUAUUUACGAUCAUAUGUUACCAGUAAUCCCUCUGUUUGCAAAUAAUUGACGUUUGAUUUUUUAUAUUGUAAUCAUACUUUUUUGCAGGAGGUUAGUUCUAUACCCGAAUGGAAACACAAAAAGAGGGGGUGGAGGGCAUAUAUCUCUUUAUCUAGCCAUAGAUAGUGACUCCCUUCCUCUUGGUUGGGAGGCUUAUGUUACUUACAAAAUGUUUGUGUUUGAUCACCACAAGGACAAAUACUUGACAAUCCAAGGUGUGUGUAUUUGUUUGUUUAGUCAUUCACAUCAAGGUCACUAUCCCUUAAUUAGGUUUGGAUCUGCGAAUUUGUGUUUAAGAUGACUUACAGCCAGAAGUUAGUUUGAGGUACUUUUGUGUGAGUUUAUUUUUAAACUUUUUUUUAAUAAAAUUAGUUAUCCACAAGUCAUAAGUUACCAGUAAAUUAUUAUUUUUUUAUUUUUACAUUUUUAUAAACCCAUAGAUCUUUAAUAAGUCAAAAUUAUCCAAACGUACUCUCAACUUAUCACAUUAAGUCACGUCAAGUCAUAAGUCACAAUUUAAGUUUAGCCAAACGGCAUCAUACUCAUGAUUUUUAUUGAACAUUGGCCAAAACUGAAAUACAUUACUAUUUGUUUGUAUGGGUCUCUACUCUCUAGAUGAUUCAGUGCAUCAAAUCCGAAGGUUUCAUGAGGCAAAGAAAGAAAGUGGUUUCGACAGAUUGAUUUCACUAGACACUUUCAAUGCAGCAAGAAAUGGUUAUCUUGUUGAUGACCAGUGUGUAUAUGGCGUCGAAGUUCAUGAGGUUAAAUAUACUGGAAAUGGCGAGACCUUUAAGAUGAUUGAGGAUCCUGAAGAUGUCACUUUCGACUGGAUGAUUACUGACUUCUCCACAAUGUGUAGAGAAAAACUUAAAAGUGAGAAAAUUGAUUCAGAGGUAUUUAAAUGUGGAGAAAGCAACUGGUAAGUAUGACUGUUUAUCUUAUUAUUGUGGGAGUGAUGCAAUUUUAAAUAACUUGACUCUAUUAUCCUUUAGUUAGAUUGCAAUAAUAUGUUGAAGUUAUUAAUUUUAAUACCAAAUGAACCUUGUGAAGUAUUUCUUUAUGCAUUUAUUAAUGUUAAUCUUUGCUGGAACUAUAUACACCAUAUAUUUGAAUGUAGCCUUGUUAAAUCCUUUUUUGACUUAUGUGAUCCGAACUACUAUAUGAUUAAGGCAACUGAAACUCUAUCCGAAUGGGGAUUCCAGAAGCAAGGACCACCUAGGUUUGUUUUUGGAGUUGAAGGAGAGUCCUGCAUCUGGAAGGAAAGUAUUAGCAGAGUUUUGGCUGGUGAUUAAAAAUCAAAAAUCUAAUUAUCAUCAUCAAGUAACAGGUUUGUGUAUGCAUCUUUCUUAUAGACGUGUUAAUAAUAAUUACGUUAGUAGUUUCUUGUGGUAUGAAUUUUUUUUUUUCCCAGAUGGAGACUCGUGGUUCAGUACUUCUGCAACAGAGUUUAGUAGUGACGAAGUAUCAAGAAACUGGGGGUGGUCAAGUUUCAUGUCGUUGUCUGACCUGAAAAGUGAGUCCAGCGGCUUCAUAGUGAAUGACACUUUACUGGUGCAAGCAAAGAUUAAGAUAAAGACAGAAGUAACAAGCUUCUAUUAGUAUUCAAGAAACCAAUUGAACUAUUUAUUUUGAGAAGAACUUUUGUUGUCCUAAAGUUGUUCAUGCAUUACUUGGGGAAAUUUAUCUACUUGUAUUUUGACGUCCAAGAAGGUGCUUUAAAAUUGUGCACAUCACUUGCUUUUGUAGCUAGGAAUAUAUAGGUGAGAGCUUUAUAGGCAGAGCUGUGUAAACUAACUGAUAAUUGGGAAAGUUUAAAAGCAAGUCUUGAGCACCAGUUACUCAGAUUAAGAUUCUUCGAGUUAUUGCUUUACAGUAUAAGAUUCGUAUAUGCUAAAGAUAUAUAUAGUUACUGGUCCAUGUUUUGUUAGAAUACUAUAUGUUCUCGGUAAACUCUCUUAAGAAAGAAUUGGUCACUUAACAUAGUAUAAGAGUACAGACAUGCGGGAAAACUUAAUUGGAUGCAGCAAAGAAGUUGAUCAAGUAUGCUAAGAUGUUAACUGCAUUAACCAGAUGCUUUGAAUACAUGUUAUCUUCAUUUGUGUCAUUUGUGUGAUAUAGAGCCUGUUUGUCCGGAUUAAAGCAGGGGCUUAAAGCUAUUUGGUUUUUUUGCAAUUCUGAGAGGAUUCAAAGAUGCUAAAAUGCACAAUUUAAUAUAUUCGUUAACUAUACGGAGAAAAUUGAUGAAGAACUUCCUAUUAGAUACUAUAUAGUAUGAGCAGCACAGUCUGUUUGGAAAAAACCGAUAACUACUUAUAAAUUAAGCCAAACUGAAACCGAUAGCUACUUAUAAGCUAGUUUAGCCAAACAAAAACUAAUAGCUACUAAUUAUAAGCUUAGACAAACAGGCACAUGAACUGAUAGCCGAAUGCAGCUCUUACAGAAGUUAUCAAAGCAUGUUAGCUUGGUGGUUAUGUUGACCCUCGUAUGUUGUUAUCACAUAUCUCGGAUCUUCUCUGUCUCUUUCAACCCUCUUCUUCACUGCACAUCCUUCAAUCGAACACCUGUAGUAGUUCCUGUUCAUCACAUACUAUCAAUCACUAAAGCUGCUUUCUGUAUAAUUUCUUAGUGUUAAAUUUACUGAAUUAUUGCACAUAAUCAGUCUGAUAUGCUGCAUGGUAAUUAAAUUCGUUUGCAUGCUUGAUUUUACGUGUGAUCAUAAUUUAAUUUGGAAGCAGAAUUUUUCGGAAAUUUAUAUGCUUUCACUGAAUUUAGUAAUUCAGAAAUGAAGAUGGUGCAUGCAGUUUGUGUCAUAAUAACAAGUAUAUAUUAUUUCCUCUACUGAUUCUACUCAUGGUUAUCGUAAUAGCAUAUCCGGGUCUGAUACGAUGUUAGGUAACCGACUCAUCUAAAACUCUCCGUUCAAAAUGAGUGACCGAUCUUUUGUGUUUGGAAAAUUCAAACAUUAGUGUCAUGUAGUGGAGUAUUCAGGCCUCUAUCUAGCUAGUGACGUGAAAUAACACAAUAGCUAAAAUAUAAUGGAAGACUAUACAUUAUGGAUGAUCAAGUGUACCUUGGCAUUGGGCUGUUUUUCACCAUCUUCUUCCCAUACUUCCUCCAUUUGAAACCAUCAUCCAGAAUUUCAAUCUCCGUCAUCGUUCUGAACGCCACCUUUUCUUUCCUCGCCGCUCUGCUCCCAAUAUUACCUCCUUCAUAGCAACAAAUUACUUCAUAACUACUUGCACGCAUCACAUUUGUUCACUCCAAGAGAAAAAGAAAUUCUAGCAAUCUGCUCUAUAUUUUUAGAGAAGGGGCUUACAUAUAAAAAUAUUUUAUGCUGUGGUAUAUAAAUAACAAAAAAUGUAUAGGAGUCGGGUACUUAAGCUCCCGAGCGACCCUUUUAAUUCGACUGCUACGUCUAAUGAGUAGACGCUACAUGCACAAAAUUAAGGUGAAAUGUUUUAAUUAAUGUUAUUAAUACAUAUAGAGGACUCAUUUCAAUUAAAACUUAAUACACGUCAUUUCUGAAAAAAAAUUUCAACCCAAUUUUGUGCAUGAAAUAUUUUCCGUAUCUAAUUUACCACAAAGAGUUGAGUUCCUUACUGGCAUUAGAUGCUUCUACGUUGCUACUUCCACCGACAAUACUUCUUCCGUCAUUCGCCGCCGCGUAAACCGGAUCAACCGGGUACCCCGAAACCAUCACCCCCGGAUCAGCCUCAGCCCACUCAUCAAACUCCAAGAGCUCCGAAAACUCAAAACUCCCAUAAUUAUCACUCCGCGACGACUCAAAAGACCGAAAACCCGUAUCGUCCAUGCUUAUCACCGAAACGAGGUCCCUCAAGAUGUACUUGUAAUUCCAUAUUUACCUAGUUACGUAUCCUUCGUGUCACCUUCCUAGGAGUCAUGGAGUGAAGAAGCUUCAUAGGUUGAUGCAUAAUCCUGGCUGCUAGCUCGGGCCAAGAAAAUACUCCAUCCGUCCCCUUUACAUGUCCAUUUUGCUUUUCGAGGAGUCAAAUUAAUCAAUUUUUGACUAAACAUUUCAAAUUAUCUACUUAUUAUUUUUAAAAUCUGAAAGUUGCAAGUUGCAUAUUAAAGUAGAUUAAAUAUACUUUCUAAUGGUAUAAUUUUUAUUAUUUUUCUCAAUUAUCUAAUACAUGUAAAGUUCAGUUAAAAUAUAGUCAAUUUGACUGAUCAAAAGUCAAAAUGAACAUUAAAAAGGGACGGAGGGAGUAUAAAAUAUCAAGUCAUGUCAUGAUGCUGAAAUAAGAAGGCACAAGAGAGUGGGAUAUGAUGAGCUAAGAAGACUUGUGCGUAGACUUGUGUGUGUCAUUUCUUUUGGCUUGUGUGCUCGUGGCUAGACGAUAUCAAAACUCGUAAACCCCCUUCACAACGGAAAGGAACUGAAUUGAGAGUGGGACCGGAUGUGGAGAUGAUUGUUGCGGAGUUAUGGUUUAGAUUCUUGCACGCUUAAGUUUAAAGUGAGUGCACGAGGUUGGUUUGCCAUUUAUCUUUACUUAAAGCGGGAUUCUAGAUUUUAUAAACAAAAUAUAUCAAUUCUUCCGUUCCCAUAAUUUAUUUUCAUUUAAUUUUAUAUUCCUACUAAAUUUUCCACGACUUGUUUUAUAAACUAAAUAUUAAUCAGUUCAAUGUUCAUCUUUGCUUUUCGGUUUGUCGCUCAUGGGCACAUAUUAAGCACUCAAAUUCAUGAAUUUGGAGGGUUUUGAUUAAUGUGGUUGUUGUAAAUGCAGAGGGUCCAUCAUUAUUAGAGAGCGUAAGCCAAUUAAAAGUCUCCAAAUUUAUGUAUUUGAUUGUUUAGCAUGUGCCCAUGGACACACACUAGAAAAACCAUUCUUAUUUUUUACUUUUAUUUUACAUAUUUUCUUAAUCUCGAAUCAACCCAAAUUACGAGGAAUGUUUUCUUUUUUUGAGGAGGAAUAUUUAACUACGACGAAGGUAAAAGGUAACUCGUUAUCCUACAUAUCAGGAGGAAUGAUUAUCAUUUUUUUUUUCCGGUCCCAAAAAGAGCCUCCACAUUAAAUUAAUAUGAUAAAAUCAUGUUAAUUUUUUUUUGAUUUUUUUGGAAUUAGAACAUAAAAUUUUGAUUUCAUUAUAUUUGAAUAAAAAGUUGAUUUUAACGGGGUCCAAUAAAAAUGAUAAGAAAGGAAUCAUAUUUUUUUUUAACUUAGAGUGGAUCACGGUAACUACAAAUUUUUAACACAAAAUGAAUCAUGAAAGAUAUAAAAUUGAAUUUCCGUGUACCGAAAAUCGUAUCAUGAUAAAAGACCAGUAUAUUAUCUAAUAGAGCUUGAGGUUUCAUAAUCUAAAUCAAUUUUUGUGACUCCGAUUCAAAUAUAUAUAAUCACAUACUCUCUCCAUACUCUCUCCGUCUCAAUUUAUAGGUCCAGUUUGAAAAAAAAAAUUGUCCCAAAAUACUUGUCCCUCUCUUCUUUCAAUACAAAUUUAUCUACAUAUUAAUUGUAAUUUUUUUGAAACUCAACAUUAUUUUCAUUUCUCAAUGCACUAAAUCCCUAUAUUUAUUGUGAUUUUUUUGAAACUCAACCAUAUUCUCACUUAUCAAUGCACUAAUUAAUGAUACAUGAGAUAAGAUUCUAUCUAAUCAACUUUUUUCUUAAUAUGUGUUUAUUCCAAAAUGGACCUAUAAAUUGAGACAGAUGAGUAUUUCUCAAACUACCACAAACACUUGAAAAGUCUUUCCUAAAAUAUAUACACAUCUAUUCUCAUUGAUCCUUCAACUGUUCAACAUUCUGGUCACGUCGAUACCCCCGAGGCCCCGACUUGUCUGUUCAUACCGAUACAAUUUUUGUAAAGGACUCGUGUUUCACGGGCCAUUUAUCCAACUAGAGACCUCUCAACACUUCGAGACUAAUGUCAACAUGCUAGCAAGUAUUGUAAUGUGAAUAUCCACGUAUAUGUUUCAUGUCAAUGCGAGGAAAUUCCUCGAAUUACGUAAGGUUACACAAAGUAGUUACUUAUGGUUGAGUAAGCAUUUUAAUAGAAAACAAAGUGGAGAUAGUGAUGAGGAAAUUACAAGGAACUUUGAUCUGUGGAACAUACACGAAGACUUGUCAAGUAUCUAGAGCGUCUUAGUUAUUUUGGAUUUCUCCUUUUCGCUCUGCCGUUAAAUUAAUUAGAAAGAUCGACAUGAUGUGUUUGACUUGGACUGCUUAUUACUUUAUCAGCGGAGGUGUAAGUUAGCCAAAAAGGCCAAUAAGUUAUGGAGGGCGGUAAAAUAAAAGUAGACCUAAUAAUUUUAAACGAUUUUAUGUGAAAUUUGAAUUUGAGUCGGAGUUUUUUGGAAUUUGAGGUGAUUUCAGAUGGAUUUAAAAGGUGUUUAUCCAUUUUAAAUAAUGAAUUCAAAUGAUAGAAAAUGAGUUGUCUUAGAACUUAUCAUAUUAGAUGGUGUCAUGAAUUUCAAAUAAAAUCUAAUUUCAUAUUUUCUGACAAAUAUUAGUUCAAAUUUACAAUUUCAAAUAAAAUUCGAAUUUCUAAACGAACACUACUAGAAUUCUCGAGUACUGCAACAGAAUUUUGCAACGGAAUUACUUCCGUCGUGAACCACUGACGGAAUAACAACAGCUUGUGGGAGGAAUCUUGACAACGAAACUCAUCAAACUAAUUUUAAAAAUAAAUCAUUUUUAGAUAAAAUCCGGAUAAUCUAAAACUGAUUCGAAAUCACUCAAGUCCCGUGUCGCUUUUGGUGGCGAAAUCAAUUGCGAGUUAUAGUUAAUUAGAGUGUAAAGGAUUUGGCAUCAUUUCAUUUCUACCUAAAUUAGGCAAGGCACCAGUUAAGAAAUGUAUGCAGCAUGCCCAGCCAAUCAUAUUGUGCCAACAAAAAGAAAUAUAUUUGACUUCGUUGGUGGCAUAUAAUCCACUUGAGUUGAGGGGCACAAAGACAUAAAAUGACUUUUUUUCUUCGAUAAUAAAAUAAUGCGUCUGAUUUAUCUGAAGUAUCGAGAGCAACUUCUGCAUACUAGUAAUAUUAUAUUCUAAAUUAAAUUAAGUUCGUCAAAAAAGAAUACUCUUAAUUAAGUAACCUAACAUCUUAACAGAGUAUUUUAAUCAUUUCUAAAAUUUAAAUAUCUAUUCACUCAUAGUUUCUAGAAAUGAAAUGUUGUUUUUAAUAUUAUUUUCUGAAUAAAAUAUUCACAACCUUUUUCACAUUUAUUAUAAUAAUUAGGUGAAAAACAAAAUAAAGAUGCCAGGUUAUAUGACGGUCACCAAGAGAAGCGUCCAUUUGAUUUACCAUGACCUUCUUCAUCUCAUCAAAUUCAUCCUUCAUGAAUUUCUGAACUUCUUAGGCGUUACUAUCAAGAGUCCGCGUCCUAAUGAUCUUAAAAUAAAAUGCACAGUCACAUACUCACAUAGUCUCUAAGAAUUUCUGGGCUAAGAAUUUCUGAUAGAGCAGAAACAGUAUGGAUAAAUGAUCUGCAACAGUAGCAUCCCUACCACAUAUGUUAAUAAUAAUAAAUUAAAUCAAGAAUAAAAGAACGACAAAGGCAAGUACGCUCUGGACCCCAACACAGAAAUAAACACACCUUGGAUGAUCCAAGUACUUUAUCCUUGUGGUGAUAAUACCUUGGAUCAGUGUUGUAAAAAGCGAGAAUCAGACUUAAUCGGUGAAGUUAUGGAAUAAGGAUUAAUCGGAGAUUAAUUGAAUUGAUCAGGUUUUAAUCGGAUUGAUCGAUGAUUAAUCAGAGAUUUAAUCAAUUGGGCGAGCUAUGGAACAUGGAUUAAUCGGUGAUUAAUCGUGAUUAAUCACCGACUUUUACAACAGAGCCUUGGAUGGUCAAGUACUUUAUAAUAUCUGCCGAACUAACUGCCGGUUUUUAAUUAGGAAUCUCCAUAACAGGAACAUAAUUACCAUUAACAAACAACUUUUAGCAUUUAUAACUCAGAUUCUGACUGGGUGGUGCUUUGUAGCUGUAAUUUGUACAAAAAAUUACAUUACACCAAAAGACUUUUCUGUGUAACUGAGAGCUGAUUUUGGACGGAUGGCAAAAUCAAAAGAAAAGAAAAAGAAAUCAUCUAGUAAAAUGAAACAGUGUGCUAAAUUAACAGUGCACAAUAAAUAAAAAUCAAAUACAUCACAAAGCUUGGAAUCAAACACUACUAAUUACAAAGCUCUUAAACCUAUCUUUAGCACAUAUACGAGUUUCCUGAAAUAUACAAAGCAUACGGAACAGAACAGGAGAAGAAAUAAAGAAGAGAUGAUACAAACAGUAAGGGUGAGACCCGACGAGUGAGAUAAUACAGCAGAAGUCCCUGCAAUGAAGGCUAGCAUCAUGGCUGCAACCGAAACAAUAUUGAACGCUAUAGCGACGAUAAGCAAGGAUUCUACCACUGAUAUCCUCUGGUACAGUGAUGUCAAGAAGUAGAGAAACAGCGAAGAAAGUGAAAAUAGGAGAGCCAUUGCAUCUGUUACCAUAAAUGUCUUAAAGGCCGUCUUGUGUAUAAGCAGGGGAGACCCUUGGUUUGGACCUUGAUUGCCGUCGAAACCACCUGGCAUGGCAAACCCUGCUGUCAAGGCAAUUGUUGUUAUGAGGGCAGCCACUAUCAUAUGGGUGUUCACCAUUUCUUUGUUGAAUUUUUCACUUCCCACGUCACCACUUUCAUCUUCACCUCCCAUUGCUUUAUCUUUAAUCCACUCUGUCAAAAGGUAUCUGUUGUAGGUUUUAUCAAGUGUUGCUCCAAUAAGUGCCUGGACGAUUGUCAAGUAAUGUUGAGUAAGUAUACAAAUUAAUUUUAUUUAGUAAUAGUUCUAGUUGAGCGUAUUCUUUCCCGUUUUUCUUGAUAUUUUAUUCUCCAUGUAGAUAUAUGAUUAUCAACAUGGAGAAUAAAAAAUAACAAUAUGUAUCGUGUAAAUAACAAUGUGUUUUUAAACACAACAAAAAUAUAUAUUAAUAACUAAUUUUGAAAUGAUAUGAAACGUACCAUUGUGAAUGUUGAAUAUUUCUAACUAAAAAAACUCAAAUUUAUAUGAAUCAUGCAAAUACUAAUAUGUUUUUGAGCCCAACAAAAAUAUAAAUUAGUAACUAAUUUAGGUACGAGAUAAACUAGCUGGCAAAAUUAAAUAAUUUUAAGUCCAUGAUAAGGAAUUUGAGCUCCAAAAUCAAAAAUAACAAUUAAUUAAGGACAGUGUAAAUAUCAGUGGUGUAAAAAGAGGAAAUUAGACUUAAUCGAUGAAGUCACGAAACAAGAACUAAUUGGGGAUUAAUCUGAUGAUCAGUGAAAUAAUCUGAUAUUUAAUCAGUUCAGUGAAUUACGGAGAAGGGAUUAAUCGAUGAUUAAUCACCAACAUUUAGAAAAAAUUAAGAUAAUUAGAUAGUAGUAUAAAGCUAGCCCUUGAGUCACAUAGUAAAGUGCACUUACCUCCUCAUCGAUCAGGGUUCCAUUUUUUUUUCCUUGCAGCACAUCUGCGGGAGUCCAAUUCGUGUUAUCGACUGCAUCCCAGUCAGCUUUCCAAAUCCAGUCGUGUCUACCAUCAAGCUCCGGAACAUAACAUUCAAAUUUUGCAAUUAGGUGAAGAGGGGUGUUCCCUUCUUUAUCUUUUUGAUUAAGAAAAUCAAUCCUCAAACGACUAACUUCUUCACUUGAGAAGAAGAAUUUAAGCACGGACUUCUGGCGUUGCUUCACGGCAAUAUGCAAAAAAUUCUGACCAUUCUCGUCUACAGUCUCCAAAAUAUCCGGCACUGUAAAUACAAGUGCAUUUAUCACACUUACACUUCCUUUGUAUGCUGCUAUGUGAAGAGCUGUUCUCUUAUGUUUAUCCGUUAAAUACGCCACAGAUUGAUCUGCCUUCAAUAAGUAUAUAACGGAUACAAAAUUAUUGUUGUUUGCCCCGUAAUGCAAUGCCGUCCAUCCGUUAUUGUCCGCCGACUUUAUAAGAUCUUUGUUCUUUUCCCCUAAAAGUAUCGAGCAUUCUGACAUAACAUGAUGAAGAAAUAUAUAACUAUUAACGAAAAAAUGGAGAAGAAGAAGAAGUUGAGGGCAUGCAUGAUGUUCCAGGUGAAACUGAAUGUAAAUAUUAUGAGAUACCGAUUGAGCACUAAUAAGAAAUCGGAAAUUAAUCGGAGUGAAAAUCGGUUAUAUUUUAAUAUUAAAAUAUUAUUUAAAUUUUGUAAUUAUUAUAUUAGUUAUUUAAUUAAUAAUAAAUAUAUUUACUGUAUCAUAAAUUCUAUAAUUGUUUAUAUUUAAAACAAUAUUAGUAUUUUAAUUUUAAUAAUAUAUUACAUAUACUUCGAUUAAGAAAAAUGUAUAAAGAUUUAAUCUGAUUUCAAAAUUGAGUCGGUCGGCCAUUUGUAAGGGAUUAAUCUGUCAAUUCGGAGAUUUUGAAAAAACUGGAUAUCGAUAGAAAUUUAAAUAAUAUUAGCUAUUUAAUAAUAAAUAUAUUUACUAUAUAAAUAAAUGAUCGAAACGGAUAUUUGGCAUAAUAAUAUUCAAAUUGUCCGUCUUUUAAUGUAAGCAUGCCUAUGUUAACAAAUUUAAUACUGCCUCACCCCAUCAAUUGUAUACUCCCUCUAUUUUUCUUUAGAGAUCACACCUAUAUUCAUCAGGUGCUGUGACCGCAUAAUAUAAAAUAAUAUUUCUGAAUUUUUCAUUUUCUUAACUAAAAUAUAUAACUAAAAUUUUGAUUCAUAAAAAGUUUAAAAAAUAAAAACUUUUGUAAUGCAUAUAAAUGACUAAAAAGUUCAAAACACAAUUUGUAUACAAAUAAACGGGACAUAAGAUAGCAGAUUGUGCAGGACAUACCAUAUCCCUCAGCAUUCAUCAAGCUAGCAUGUAAAGCCGUUCUUCCAUCUGGCCCUUCGUAGGUUAGCGAUUCACAAUUAUUAAGAAUUACUUUGAUCACAUCCGUUAAACACCUAAACGCCGCCAAGUAGAGUGGAGUUUCAUUAUGCUUAUUCUGAGGAUACGAGUAACUCGGAUCUUCUUUUACCAACAGUUCAACCACAUCCUUGUGAUUGUAUCGAACUGCCGCGUGCAAGGCCGUCUCCAGUUCCAAGUGAUUAGCUGCUCUAAUCAGAUUUUGAAGGAGGGUAGGUGAUGUGUUUUGAACCCAGGACUUGACGGUACUAAUGAGUGCUGUAACCGCAUCAUAGUGUCCAUUUCUUGCGGCUAGGUGAAGAGCAGUAUCGCCUCUUGAGUUGACCUGCAAGACUAGUGAUUCAUCGGCUCUGCUCAGAAUCUCGUUCAGACAUGCUAGGCUCCCUGUUUGGCAUGCAAGGUGAAGCACCGUGUUAUUUGCAGGUGUCAGUUGAUCACGGACUGUAAUCCAGUCGUGCUCCUUGAAGGCAACAAGGUUAUUAUCGCAGACAGCUCGGUACAACUCAGGAUGCAUAUGAUUCAUUGUGUAGAGAUGAUUGUUUAUAUGAUCACCUAACCUUAAACUAGUACUCAUAUUUAUAGACACUGGGGCGCUCUUCUGGUACAAAUAUGUGCAAGUUGCGAAUUUAAUACGUAAUAUAUUAUGGUGGUGUUUGUUUACCACUUAAAAGCCCGACUUCUAGAGUUAUAAGUUAGAAGCGUUUAUUUGUACCGUUUGUAUAAAAAGUCAAGAAGUACUCAUAAAAAGUUAAUCACGAAUGCUGACUUUGUUUCGGGGGCUUCAACUUUUUUUCCAAACACUUUAAUCACUCCUUAGGGUCGGUUUGGCGUUUGGGUGAGCUAAGACCUAUAAGUGAUAAAAGUGUUUGGGAAAUAAAUAGAAACCGUGAGACAAAAGCUAGUUAUCGUAGCUUUUUAUAAGUACUUCUUGACUUCUUAUACAAACGGUGCAAAUAAGUGUUUCUAAUUUAUAAUUCCAGAAACCGGGAUUAUAAGCCCGUGACAAACACCCUACUCUAUUUUUUUAUUUUAAGCAGGAAACACUUAUUUUAUAAGCUCACGACUCACCCAAACGGCCCUAUAUAUGACAAUUCUCGGUGCUUUUCAGUUUUUAAAAAGUCAAACUGAUUUAUUUUUAAAUAAUUAUUAAAACAAUGAUAUAUUUAUUAUUUUAGAAAAUAAGUAAUAUAUUGAUACUCUUGGCCGGUAUCUUUCAGUUUUUAAAAGGUUAUAUUGAUCAAUUUUUAAAUAAUUAUUAAAAAAUUAUAUAUUUAUUAUUUAAGAAACAGAAGUUACAUUUAAAAUAUGUUAGAUGUACUAAUUGAUAAUUUUUUUUAUUUUACUUUUACAAUUAUAUAAUGUAUAUAAAUAAUAAAGGGAAUAAAUAAUGGGUCAUGUAUUUUAGAACAAAGGGAAUAAAUAAUUUCUACCUAACAAUAAUCAGUCGCCACUUUGCUCUCUAAAAAAUAUAUAUGCUCCACUGGGGUUAAUUAUUCUGAUACUCAUGUGAACAUGGAGCAUCUUAUUCAUAUACUAACGUUAAUCAGCAGUGAAUUGAAUUGAUUAUCUUAAACGUCACCUAGAUGUAUAUAUCGAAGACGUAGGUAAUAUUAAAAUUUCAACAUAUCAAUUAUUGUCGUAAAAAAGUACGUUUGAACAGGUCUCCGGCAAUAGUUAAUUUUCUGGGGUACACCAAAAAAUAUAUAAUAGUUAAUCUCCAUCCUCUUUUACAUAUUUUUUUGGGAGAAAAAAACAUGUCAAAAAAUAUAUUUGUUUCUCUUUUCAAAGUAUCUUUUAUAUGUAUUUACACAAAAUACUUUUAAAAAAUUUUCAAUCGUGAUCUAAAAAUUUAAACUUAGAUAUUCACAACCCCCUCCAACUAUGAACUGAAAAAUGAUUCAAAAUUGGAUAAAUAAUGAUACCUGUUAUAAAAUAAUAUAUUAAGUGAUUGUCAAAAGCUUAGUCAAGAAGACUCGCAAAUCUUAUCAAGUAAGUUUGGUGAAACUUACUAAGGAAGACUCGCAAAGCUUAUCAAGGAAGUCCGACGAAACUUACUAAAGAAGACUCGCAUAGCUUAUCGAGGAAGACUUACGAUACUUACUCGAGAAGAAUCGUAAUACUUAACCUAGAAGUAUUGCAAAUCUUAGUUAGGAAGAUUCAUCAACCAACCUCUAUAAAUAGCUGGUUCAGUUGAAAUGAAUUCAAUUCUGAAAUAUUCUGAAAUACAACUACUUUCUCUCUCCAUCUCCUAUUCUCUUUAUACUUUCCAGAAUAGUUUCCUUUUCUUAUUUUUGUAUAGUUUAAUAGUAUAUAUUACAAGAUUUACAACACGUUAUCAGCACGAGACUCUGCCGAACUGAGAUAUGCCAAAGAAGGACUCUGCCAAACUGAGAUAAGUCAAACAGGUACAUCAUAAACAGGUACAAUCUAACCAACUCUAAAUACUGCGACUUUCACAGAAAUAAGGUACGAUCUAUCUCUACUCAUUUUACGAUUAUUACUAUCGUUAUAGCUUAUGACUUUACUAUUGCUUGAUUUGUUAAUGGCGACAAUGCCGUUAAAACUUUUUAGUUAUAUCAUACUGUAUAGAUAUUAAAUUGUUUUUGUAUUAACUUGAAAUAUUGAUAGGUCAUGUUUUAAAUAUUUAUUUUACAUUCAGAAUGACGAACCUUGUAAAAUUAGAAUUUGUUGCCUUGGAUGUUUCUGGGAAUAAUUAUCUAUCUUGGUUCCUUGAUGUGAUAUUACACCUUAGUGCUAACAGCCUAGGACACUAUUGAUUUAGAAAAUAAUCCCCAUUGUUUAACAAAAUGUCAAACCAAUUAUCUUUCUAAGACAUCACAUCCAUGAAGACCUAAAAUCUGAAUAUCUCAUUAUCAGAAAUCCCCUUACCCUUUGGAAUAAUCUCAAGGAUAGAUUUGAUCACCAGAAACCUAUUCACUUACCAUCUGCCCGUUUUGACUGGUUGAUUUGAGGUUACAAGAUUUCAAAUAUGUAGCUGAAUAUAAUUCUGUUUUUUUUUUCAAGAUAAGCUCAAAUUAAUUUUGUAUGGUGAAAAUAUUAUUGAUGCUGAAAUAAUUGAAAAGACCCUAUCAACUUUUCACCCAAAUACUAUGAUUUUGGCACAACGAUAUAAAGAGCGGAGUUUCCAAAAAUAUGGUGCGAUGGUAUAUCUCCUUCUUGUGGUUGAAAAGAAUAAUGAGUUGCUAUUGAAAAACCAUCAGAUUCGUCCCAUAGGCUCUGCCCAGGUACCUGAAGUACAUAACACGUCAUUCCUGAAGAAUGAACGUGGGAAAGGGCAUAGAGGAGGACGAGGUUAUGGACGAAACUGUGGACGUUGAAAUUUCCAUAGUCGGUUUCGAAAUCAAUAUCAUUCUGGCCACCUGAAGGGGCAACGUGAUGGUUAAAACUCAGGCCACUAGAAAUGACAACGUGAAGUGCCAAAAGAAAGGCAUCCAAGAAGGAGAGAACCGAGGCAUAUGUCAUUGGUGCGGAUCUGAGGGACAUUGGCAAUGUACCUAUCGCACACCUAAACAUCUUGUUGAUCUGUAUGGGUUAUCCAAAAGAAUAAUGGAAAGAGAGUAGAAACAAACUUUUCUAAUUAUAAUCUAGUUGAUGAACCAAUCAAUAAGGUCUCAAAUGAAAUAGAUACUGGUGCUAACCUUUAUUAUGGUUGAGAGGACUAGACUUCAUACGUAUUGUCUUGCUUUACUUAUUACCUUUAUGUUUUACUUAUUUUCUUUAUCUGCUUGUUUCAUGUUGUUGUUUGGUAUACUCGGUGUGUUUUUAAAAGAUGUUUUUCAUUUAUAUAUGUAUAGAGAUGGAAGAUAUAUGCAUUAUUGAUUGCACAACCACACACUAUGUUAAAAACUUAGAAAUACUUUCACAGUUGACUAAUAAAACCAACUUACAUGUCUGGACGGUAUUGGGUACAUCAUACAUAAUAGAGGUUUCUGAGAAGCUAGUUUUAUUCUGCCAAAUAAGACGCACAUAAGAUGCUCUAUACUCUAGAAAGGCAACUAGAAACCUACUAAGGUUUAAAGAUACUCGUUUGUAAUGGUUUCACGUUGAAACUACUGAUGAGAAUGAAAAAGAAUAUCUUCUCAUCACCUCAAACACCGUUGACAAUAAAAAGGUCUUUGAAAAAUUUCACUCAAUUUCUUCAGGAUUAUAUGUUACAAGAAUAAGAGCUAUUGAAUCUCAUAGUGUCAACAUUCCCAAAGUCACAAACCUAAAACUACUUUUCCCUUGGCAUGAAAGGCUUGAUCAUCUAGGAAUAUCUAUGAUGCGUCAUAUUAUUAAAGAAUCUAGAGGACAUCCUUUUAUAACUCAAAAGGUAAUGCCCAAGGUGAACUUCCUUGUUCAGUAUGUUCCUUAAAAAGUUUUGAUUGUCUGAUCAUUCCUAGUUAAGCUUCAAACUGAAUCCCCGAAAUUCUUAGAAAGAAUUCAAGGUGACAUUUGUGGUCCUAUUCAUCCAUCUUCUGGCACAUUUAGGUACUUUAUUGAUGCGUCAACUCGAUGGUCCCUUAUAUGCCUUUACCAAAUUACUUGCCUUAAUAAUCAAUAGAGUAAAGAGCUAUGUGAGCUACAAUUAUUUAGUAUCUUGUCAAAUAGUAGUUCACAAAUAAAAUCGAAUCAUAUGAUUGUCAUAGACAAUCUUUUGGUUAACUGGUCAUUAAAAAGAUUUUAGAGAUACUAGUGGGGGACUUUUGAUAAUUGAAGAAUGUGCCCUUAUUGCAUUGUCACAAAGAACUACACUGAGGCACAAUAGUAUAUAUGCUGGUUUUGAUUCUUCGUUUAAUAUAAGGUAUCUAGAGCCAUUAACUGGUGAUAUUUUUUCUGCUCAGUAUGCUGAUUUUCAUUUUGGUGAAUCUAUAUUCCCUAAAUCAGGGGGAGAAAAUAUUUUGCAUAAAUUAUGUGAUAUCUUCGAAUGCAUCAGUUUUGAAUUAUAUUGAUCUACUAAUAAUAUGGGUCAUAACUUCAAAGAGUUAUUUAUAUGCAAAAUAUUGAUAAUCAAUGCCGAAUUCUUUUAGUGAUUUUUAGACAUAUUAUCACACAUACAUGCUAUUAAUGCUUUGGUAAGGAUUGAAAUCCUGAUUUAUAAAGCAAUUUUUGAAGAAUUGGUUAGAAUAUAAUAAGCACGCCGGAAGCGUGGGAAAUCUAUUCGUACAUAUGAUAUUGUACUGUGAAAUUACAAAUUGAUUAUACUUGCCCCAGAAGUGGCAAGCUUUUUGAUAUAUACCCUAAAAGCGGUAUUACCCCUUGUAGAGGUUAUUCUUUUAUGAAACGGAAAUUAAUUAGACUUGCCAAGAAGUGGCAACAAUUCCAUAAAAUACCCCAGAAGUGGUAUUACCUCCUGAAGAGGUUUGAGCCCCUGAAGUGGCUGAAACAAAAUUCCUAGAAAUGGGAUUAUCUCUGAAAGAUGAUAUUGUCCCAGAAGUGACAAAUACAUACCCCAGAAGUGGUAUUGCCUCCUGAAGAGGUUCAAGCCCCUGAAGUGGCUGUGACAAAUCCUCCUGAAGAGGAAAUUGCCCCAGAAGUGGCACAUGCCCUAGAAGUGGCAAAUGCCCCAGAAGUGGCAAAUGCUUCCAUGGAAGCAAAGGUACCUGAAAGUUAUGAGAUCUCUAUAAUUUAUGUACAUAAAGGGAAAUUAUUGGAUCGUGAGAGUACUAAGAUUGAUGAUGUGUAUGUUUUUCCGUGAUAUGUGAUAUUAUUAUAAACUCCGAUCCUAAAGUGUCGACAAUGAGAUGAUUGGAUCGUGGGAGUAUUGAGAUUGAUGAUAUGUAUGUGAUAUUAUUAUAAACUCCGAUCCUAAACCACAAAGUGUGGAGAAGUGUCGACAAUGAGAUAAUUGGAUCGUGGGAGUAUUGAGAUUGCGAUAUGUAUGCAAUAUUAUUAUGAACUCCGAUCUUGAACCACAAAGUGUGGAAGAGUGUCGACAAUGAUAUGAUUGGCCAAAAUGAAAAAUUGCAAUCUAGGAAGAAUUGCAAUUCUUGCGCAAGGUAAAUGUAUAUGGACCUAUAGUUUAAACACCAGCUGGUGAAGUCCCUGUUGGGAAUAGAUGAGUAUUUGUAUGAAAAUGAAAUGAGAGAUGAAAUUGUGAGAUAUAAAGCUUGGUUGAUAGCCCAAGGAUUCUCUCAGAGACCUGGAUUUGAUUAUUAGGAAACAUACUCUCCUAUAAGGGAUCCCCUGUUGGGAAUAGAUGAGUAUUUGUAUGAAAAUGAAAUGAGAGAUGAAAUUGUGAGAUAUAAAGCUUGGUUGAUAGCCCAAGGAUUCUCUCAGAGACCUGGAUUUGAUUAUUAGGAAACAUACUCUCCUAUAAGGGAUAGAGUUACUUUUAUUUCCUAAUGGGUAUAAUUUUAAUCACCAGGAAAUAUACUCUCCUGUAAUGGAUGGAGUUACCUCUCAUUUUAUAAUGAGUAUGGCUUUGGAAACACGUCUGAUGGACGUUGUGAUAGCAUACUUUUAUAUAUCACUUAAUAGUGAUAUUUUUAUGAAAAUCCCUGAAGGAUUAGAGAUAGAGGACACUAAGCCUUGACAUUUAUAUUAUGUUAUAUCCCAACGAUUAUUAUAUGGUUUGAAACAAUUUGGUCGUAUGUGGUACAACAUGCUUGGUAAAUAAUUAUUGAAUGAUGGAUAUGUUAAUCACCAGGUAUGUCUUUGCAUUUUUAUUCAACGUUCACCAACCGUUUUUGUUAUAAUUGUUGAUAUGUGGAUGAUUUGAAUAUUAUUGGUACUUUUGAAGAUAUUACUAAUGCUAUUAACCAUUUGAAAAAUGAGUUUUGAAAUGAAAGAUCUUCGAAAGACAAGAUUUUAUUUAGGUAUACAGGUGGAACACUUAUCUUCAGGCAUAUUUGUUUAUCAAUCAAACUACAUUGAAAAGGUCCUUGAUCGGUUCUAAGUGGACAAAGUUCAUCCACUAACCACGUCAAUGGUUUGUCAAUCACUUGAGGUUGAAAAGGAUCCCUUCCGUCCUAGAGAACAGGAUGAAUAAGCACUCGAAUCUGAAGUUUCCUACCUUCGUGCAAUUGGAGCCCUUAUAUUGCAUUUGUUGUGAACCUGUUGGCGAGAUUCAAUUCUGGCCCAACUAAAAGAUGCUGGAUACAUGUCAGAUCUUCACUUUGGGCGAUUACAAACAAAGUUACUGGAAAUUCAUGAAGCAAGCAAAUGAUGUAUUUGGUUAAGACAACUCAAGAAAAGACAUAUCUAAGGAGAUCGAACAAAACACAUAUUGUCAGAAUUCUUCUAUACUCAGGAGUUUCAAGAAAAUGGUGAUAUUGAUGUACAACAAGUUCGUUCAUCCAAUAACCUGGUGGAUAAACCUGCAAAGUCAUUACCGACAUCAACAUUUGAGAAGUUACGAAGUUAUAUGGGUAUACGAAGAUUAAAAGGUCUACUAGAUCAAGAUGUCGAAAUGUGAGUAAUUUAAUUCAGGGGGAGACUGUACUCUUUUUCCUUCGACAAGGUUUUUAUCCCACUGGGUUUUUCCUUGCAAGGUUUUAACGAGGCAGUCAAUCUCUAUGAUAACUCGCAUUUGACAAUCAAGGGGGAGUGUUAUAAAAUAAUAUAUUAAGUGAUUGUCAAAAGCUUAGUCAAGAAGACUCGCAAAUCUUAUCAAGUAAGUUUGGUGAAACUUACUAAGGAAGACUCGCAAAGCUUAUCAAGGAAGUCCGACGAAACUUACUAAAGAAGACUCGCAUAGCUUAUCGAGGAAGACUUACGAUACUUACUCGAGAAGAAUCGUAAUACUUAACCUAGAAGUAUUGCAAAUCUUAGUUAGGAAGAUUCAUCAACCAACCUCUAUAAAUAGCUGGUUCAGUUGAAAUGAAUUCAAUUCUGAAAUAUUCUGAAAUACAACUACUUUCUCUCUCCAUCUCCUAUUCUCUUUAUACUUUCUAGAAUAGUUUCCUUUUCUUAUUUUUGUAUAGUUUAAUAGUAUAUAUUACAAGAUUUACAACAAUACCUUUCAAAUUUGGAUUACUACGCUUCACCGGUACAAAUUUUUACGAGCUGAAUUAGGAAGAAAUAUUGUAUGCAGCAUGCCCAGCCAAAUUGUGCCAACAAAAAGACUUGUUGGUAGUAUAUUAUCCACUUGGGUUGAGUGGCACAAAGACACAAAAUGACUUUUCUGCGACAAGAAAAUAAUAUUACGUCUGAUUUAAUAUUUAUCAGAAGUAUCGAGAGCAACUUCAGCAUACUAGUACUAUUAUUUUUAAAUUAAGUAACCUGACAUCUUAACAGUAUUUUAAUCAUUCUUAAAAUUAAACUAUCUAUUCAAUUCAUAGUUUUUAGAAAUGAAAAGUUAUUUUAAUUCUUUUUCCCUCUCACUUUUUUAAUAAACCGCACUAAUUAUUUCUCUUCAUUCUUUAAAUAAGCUCCACAAAUUCUAUUCAUUUCUUUUUCCAUUUUAUAUUACUUUUUCAUCAAUAUAUCUUAUUAAAGUAUGGAUUAAUUUCUUUUAUGUUCAUAAAAAUAUUAAAGUACUGAACCACAUGAUUCUUCACCUGACAGAAAAUUACAAUAUUACUUCUAGCUAGGGUAAUUAAGUUGGCCGCAGCCUGCCUCUGAUGGGUAAAGUGUGCAUGUUUAGCAUGAAGAACAUUGCAGGUAUGAACUUUGUUCAUGAAAACAAACCUUGAUUAAAAUCAUCUGCAAGUACUGGAUAUGUUCUUUCUUCUUCCAUAACUUCGAUGGUUUUCGCAGUGAAAUCGAAAUAUUUUGCUAUAACUUAAUGACUUGUAAUUUUUAAGGCCUGUAAUUAAGUUAAUUAUUAUCAACUUCACUGAUUUUAAUGUACUAGCUUUACUGUAAAAGAUAACGAAAACUAUGCUGAAAAAUAAAAUAGAGAAAAAUUGUCUUAAGAUUUUGAAAAUAUUAAUUAUCCUCCUAACGAAUGCACUAAUCCAUAACAACAACAAAAAAUCCAAUUUAAAGCACAAGUAGCUUUUCCUCACAUAAUGCAAGACCAACAACUUUCAAUCAAAAACUGAACUCCACCCUUGAACAAAUAGGUCUGAUUAAUAACUCAUUUUUUAAGAAAAACCUGUGAUUUCGGUCUUUAUCUUAACCUUUGCUUGUAUCAGUAGAGUAUCAUUCACUAUGAAGCCACUGGCCUUACUUUUAAGAUCACUCAACAACAAGAACUCUGCAGGACCCCAGGAUUUAUUUACGUCACUAGUGAAUUCCGUGGGACUAGUACUGUACCAUCUGUCUCCCCCUGAAACGAAAAAAAUUUGAAAUAUAUCAUUAUACCAUUGGUCUGAUCCUGCUUAGCAUUCUUUAUUUGAAAGUAAAUGUCUACACAGACCUGCAUAUUCACGAUAAUGAUCAGAUCCUUGAUUCUUUAUGAGCAGCCAGAACUCUACCAGAACUUUUUUCCCCGAUGGGGGGGCCUCGACCAACUCCAGAAACAAACCCAAACGGUCUUUAACACAAUAAUCCCCGUUCGGAUAUAGCCUUAAAUGCCUUAAUCAUGCAAUACAACGAAACAAAGUUCAAAAAAACGAAGCAAUUACUGUCAGGGGGAGUUUGAAUCGUAUGUAGAACGAGAAUCAAGCGUAUGGGAAUGAGAGACAUGAGAACGGAUAUCUCAAGUAGAGUGUAAAAUAUAAUUUAGACUCCAAAUGAGAUUGGGGUUCAAUCUACAUACUGAUACAUGAAUUUAAGAUUCCCGUUCUCGUUAAUCGGAUUGAUUAACCAUAUACUUAAUUUAAAUUUUAAAAUGAAAAUCUUAGAGCCCCUGCAAUAGCUUUAACAUGUUCUUGCCAAUAUACAAAAACAAAUUAAAUACUCCCUCCGUUUCAAAUUAGAUGUCCACUUUAAAAAAAUCACACAGUUUAAGAAAAGUGAUCUUUUACAAAUUAGUUGCAUUAAAUGACUAUAAUAUGGUCGAUCUAGGAAAUAUAAAUAAGAGAUAUGUGGAGUAGAAUUGGCUUUGGAAAUAUGAUUUUGCAUUGAAAGUUGAAGGUGGACAACUAAUUUGAAACAAAUAAUUUUUCCAAAAGUGGACAUGUAAAUUGAAACGGAGGGAGUAGUAUAUUUAUCAUACUUGAAAGUUUAGCAAUUCCCAGAAUAUAUCAAUAAAUCAUCAUAAAAAACUUACCACUUGCUUUUUCCAACUGUAAAUUCCUCUGAAAUGAGAUUUUCACCGUUAAGCUUUUCUUUGCAGACUCUGGAAAACUCACAUACUUUCCAGUCGAAAGUGACUUCUAGGGGAUCCUCAAUCAUCUUUAUAGUCUCACCUAUUCCAGUAUCUUUAACCUCAAAAACUUCGACGCCAAAUACACAAGAAUCAUCAAUAAGAUAACCAUUUGCUGCAGCAUUGAAAGUCUCUAAUGUUAUCAAUCUGUCAAAACCACUUUCUUUCUUGGCGCGAUGAAACCGUCGAAUUUGAUGCCUCGGCUCAUCUUCAAAAAGAACCACACACAAGAAGACACAAAUCACUUAAUAGCAUGCCAGCAGAUCAGAACAGAAAUAUAAAAUGACAAACAAGGCCAAGACAUAAAUUAAUUAAAUAAGAAUGUCAAUGUCACAAUAGCAAAUUUUUCGAUACACACACCUUGAAUGGUCAGGUAUCGAUCCUUAUUGUGAUCAAACACAAACAUCUUGUAAGUUACAUUUGCCUCCCAACCAAGAGGAAGCGAGUCUGUCUUCUCUAUGGCUAAGUAAAGCGAUAUAUGUCCUCCACCCCCUCUUCUUGCGUUUCCAUUCGGGUACAAAAUUAAUCUCCUGCAACCAAAUAUAUACAAUAUAUAACAAUAUAAAUACUCAAACACUAUAAUCUAGCCUACUCUACAUAAUUAUAUGAUUUCAAUGUAAAAAAAAUGAAAUAGUAGUACCAUGUGUAACCACUGGCCUUAAACAUUGCAGAUUCAUAUUUUUCAGCUCCUAUAUCAACAAGUGAUGAUUAAAUGAAAAAGAUGAAUGCACAGAAAUAAUGGUGAUGAAACUAGAGACAACUUUCCAGACUCUUUUGCUCAAAGCAUAUUGUUUUCAUUCUGAAUAACUAUGGUGCAUACUCCUCAGCUAUAUGCUGAUAGGAUGGAAUCUUUUCCUAACAACCUUGUACUACUACUUCCAUAAUUGCCUUUAACAGAUGGCAUAAUACUAGAGUCCAGACAAAAUAACAUAACAGCUAGAGAAAGGAAAAGACAAUGACAAUAACGGUAAAUAAAGUGCUGCAGAUAGGUGGCUGACUAGGCAUUCUGUGGACCCUUCCUUCAUUACUCCCCUUCAAGCUGAGCUGAAGUUUUGACAGAAGCUCCAAGCUUGUGUAGAAGACUAUAAUGCUGUUUAACAGAGAGAGGUUUGGUGAGCACAUCAGCAAUCUGCGAAUGAGAUGGAACAUAGUGUGUAACAAUUGCUCCAGAUUGAACCUUGUCUCGAAUGUAAUGGCAGUCUAUCUCAACGUGCUUUGUGCGUUCAUGGAGCACAGGGUUUGCAGCAAUUGAGAUAGCUGCCAUGUUGUCACAUUGAAGAACAGUUGGUGGCAAGUUUGUGAGUCCCAUAUCUUGCAACAGAGCCGUAAUCCAAGUAAUUUCGCAAGCAGUGAGAGCCAUGGCUCUGUACUCCGCCUCAGCAGUGGACCUUGCAACUAUGUUUUGCUUUUUCGAUUUCCAAGACACAGGAGAAUGUCCCAGAAAAAUACAGAAGCCUGUUGUUGACCUUCGAGUGUUUGGGCAGCUAGCCCAAUCACUAUCGCAAUAAGCCUGGACUUGUGCUGCAGAUGAGGAUGCUAGAAGUAUACCUUGCCCUGGAUUGCUUAGUAAAUACCUUAAAAUUCGUUUGCCAGCCUGCAUAUGAACUGUGGUGGGGCUUUGCAUAUAUUGACUCAACACAUGGACAGGGAAUGUGAUGUCAGGCCUCGUGAUAGUUAAGUAAAUAAGCUUGCCGAUGAGCCUCUGAUAGGUGUAUGGAUCAGUCAAAAGAUCGCCCUUUGUAUGACCUAACUUAAGAUGAAUAUCCAUAGGCAACUUCAGAGGAGUGGCAUUGUGCAUGCCAAACUCAGUUAAGAGAUCUUUGGUGUACUUCUUUUGAGACAGAAAGAAGCCUGCAUCUGAUCUUUCUAUUUCAAUGCCCAGAAAAUAGCUUACAUCUCCGAGAUCUUUCAUGUGAAAAGAACCAGACAAGUAUGUCUUCAGGUUAAGAAUGGCUUCAUUUGAAUUGCCGGCAAUGAGAAGGUCAUCAACAUACACCAAGAUAAGUGUGAUUGAGUUGGAGGUUGCUUUUGUGAACAGACUGUAAUCUGUUUUUGAUUGAGUAUACUCCAGAGACAGAAGCUUGGCGGAAAGUUUAUCGAACCAUUUUCUUGGGCUAUGCUUCAAACCAUAGAGGGACUUGAUGAGUUUGCAGACCAUAGUUGUAUGUGCAGGGGUGAGAGGAUGAUCGUAAUCAAUUCGGCUGCCAAGUCCCGUAUAUCCCUGUGGGAAUUUCAUGUACACCGUCUCUUGGAGGUCACCAUGCAAGAAUGCAUUGGUGACAUCCAUUUGAAUAACUAUCCAAUCUUGCAUUGCAGCAACUGCUAGUAAGGUUCUGACCGUCGUGAGUUUAGCAACGGGAGCAAACGUCUCUAGAUAAUCAAUACCAUAUAUCUGUUUGCAGCCAAGAAUAACCAAUCUCGCCUUGUACCUUUCGAUUGUUCCAUCAGGAUUGAACUUUGUUUUGAAAACCCAUUUGCAGCCUAUAGCUUUUUUGUUUGGAGGCAAAGUUGUGAUCUCCCAUGUUUUGUUGUCUUCAAGAGCGGUCAAUUCUUUGUUCAUUGCAUCUAUCCAACACUUGUGCUGAGCUGCUUGUUUGAAUGACAUAGGAUCUGCUGCAUGUUCCAAAGAUGCCAGAAAACAGUUGAAUUGAGGUUUGACAUAAUGAUCAGCUAUCUGAGCUAUGUUGGCAGAAGUAGACAAUGAGUGACUGUAAUCAUUAAGCCAUCCAGGAGGUUUACUUAUUCUGGAGGACCUUCUGAGGUCAUUGUUAGGAGGUGGAGGAUCAUUGGUUUGGUUUGAGGAGGGCUCAGGGUUGGUUUCAAGUUCUGGAAUAUCAAGGUCAUCAAAGUCUGGUGUUGGAACAGAAGGAGGCAUAGGACAAGGUGUAGGUUCCAGAUAAGUGUUUGAGGAUGGGUUAUUAAAAGGAAAAAUAUUUUCUUGAAAGGUUACAUCUCUGGAAUUGAAGGUUUUCAUUGUGGUUAAAUUUAGUAGUUUGUAGCCUUUGGUACUAGUGGAGGUGGGGUAUCCAAGCAAGACACAUGGAACUCCCCUUGGCUGGAAUUUGUCUGUAGAUUGAUCAGGGUUCGAGGCUAGAGCUAGGCAUCCAAAUGUUCUCAAGUGGUCGUAUUCAGCUGGUAUAUUGUGUAGGACCUCAAAUGGUAUUUUGAAGUUUAAGGUUCUAGUUGGCAGUCUAUUAAUCAAGUGCACAGCUGUCAUAACAAAAUCACCCCAGUAGGAUAAUGGUAACCCGGAUUGAAACCUCAAACUUCUAGCUACUUCAAGAACGUGUCUAUGUUUUCUUUCGACCCGAGCAUUCUGUUGGGGUCGAUUGACACAAGUCUUUUGAUGAACAAUCCCAUUUUCAACAUAAAACUUUUUACACUUAUCAUCCGAGAAUUCAGGGGCAUUAUCAGAACGCAAACAUUUGAUUUUAGCAGUGAAAUGCGUGUACACAUAAUUGUAGAAGGCUUGAAAGCAGUCUAUGAAGUCAGAUUUCUGUUUCAUCAAGUAUAACCAGGUGACUCUAGACAUAUCAUCUACGACAGUGAGAAAAUAUCUGAAAUGACCUCGAGUACACACACGAUAUGGACCCCAAGUAUCUAUGUGCACUAAAUCAAAUGCAUUACUAGCGUGGGAAGUGCUCAGAACAUAAGGUAAUUUUGAAAAUUUUGCCAUAGGGCAAGUAAUGCACACCUGAUUGUUGCCGGUGAGAGAAGAACUCAGUUGAGGAAUGUGCCCAAUAGUAGACAUUGCGGCGUGUCCAAGCCUCAAGUGCCAGGUGCUGGAAGUCACAGUAACAGAGUUACAGCUUGCUCCAACAGCAUCAGUGAGGUAGUAUAAACCAGAGUUAAUGUGUCCUGUGGCCUGGACUUCUGCAGUGCCAGCUUUUAGAAUUUCGCAAGUAAAAGGUGUGAACCUCACAUCACACUUGUUGUCCUUUGCCAAUUUAUGAAUUGACAAGAGGUUGUGCUGAAACUGUGGCACUACAAGCACAUUGUGUAAGAUCAAUCCACACUUAAGCUUUACAUCUCCCACAUGUGUUAUGUGUGACACAUCUCCAGUUGGGAGGUUAAUUGUCAAGUUUUUAGCUGCAGGCUUGACAUUAACCAAGAGAUUUACAUCAGCUGUCAUAUGGUCACUCGCCCCUGAGUCGACAAUCCAAGUCCCCUUGUCUGCUACUGCUAAAUUGCACGCCACCAUUCUAGAGAAGGCAUGAUCAAGUUCCUCAUCAGAUUCCGAGCCCUUAAAUGCCUGUACAGCAUUUUGUGGCAUAUAUUUCAACAAGUGUUCAAGUUGUUGAGGGCUGAAAACAAUUUCCUCUGUCUGAGUGUUUUGGACAUCAUUAUUUGCCAUUCUUGGAGGCCUAUAUCUGUUGCCUUGUGGUCUGCCAGUAGCCACAUUGUUGUUUUGGCCUCUGUUGUUACCUGGUGGUCUAUAUUUAAAAUGUCAUUUUGGGUAUCCAACUUUAGACCAACAUUUGUCAGUUUGGUGCCCUUUGCCCCCACAUUCAGCACAACCCAUCCUGCCCUGGCUAGCACUGGUAUGAGGCCCUGUAGUAUUCAUUGCAGAAAAUUCAACAUCUAAAUUUUGCAAGACAUCGAUCUGUGAUUCUUCUUGUUGUAUCACAGCGCACGCAGCUUCAACAGGAGGUAAGGGAUGACGCAUUAGCAAUUGACUGCGCAAUGAACUAUAGGCAUCGUCUAGUCCAUUCAAGAACACAAAAAGUUUUGCCUCUUCUCUCUGGGUGUUUAUAGCUUUUAACAAGGCUGAAAUCUCAGGCGUGACAGUGGUUAUAGGAGGCAAAGUAUUCAUGGAGUCAAUUUCUUCCCAGAUACUACUGAGUGUUGUGAAAUACUCAGUUAUCUUUGUCUUAUUCUGCUUAAGACUAAACAGAUCUUUGUUUAGCUUAUACUUGCGAGAGCCAUUACUUAACUGAAACCUUUUCUCUAAGUGUUUCCAGAUCUCAUGAGCAGAGUUGAUAAACAGAAUAGAUUGGCGUAUAGUAUCAGAUACAUUAUUAUGUAUCCAAGAAAUGACCAAAUCAUUACAAGUAUCCCAUUGCAUACCUUGAGUUUCAUCAGUGGUGUUUCGGAGGACUGUCCCAUUGACAAAUCCGAGCUUUCUCUUUGAAGAAAGUUGAAUCUCCAAGGAACGUUUCCAGCUUCGAUAAUCGCUAGCACCCUGUAGUUUCGUGACACUGACUGACGUAGGCCCAUCGGAAGGGUGUAAAAAUAAGGGAUUUUGCAUUUCUGCAAAGUUGUUUCUUCCCCCAUUCGCCAUGACUUGUGUUUACAAACUCAGAAAGGUGUUAUUUGCAGAGAAAAGAUUUUUGAGGGAGAAUGAAUAAGAUUUGAGAGAGGUGGAAAAGAUGUUGCAUUCACAGCUCUGAUACCAUGAUGAUUAAAUGAAAAAGAUGAAUGCACAGAAAUAAUGGUGAUGAAACUAGAGACAACUUUCCAGACUCUUUUGCUCAAAGCAUAUUGUUUUCAUUCUGAAUAACUAUGGUGCAUACUCCUCAGCUAUAUGCUGAUAGGAUGGAAUCUUUUCCUAACAACCUUGUACUACUACUUCCAUAAUUGCCUUUAACAGAUGGCAUAAUACUAGAGUCCAGACAAAAUAACAUAACAGCUAGAGAAAGGAAAAGACAAUGACAAUAACGGUAAAUAAAGUGCUGCAGAUAGGUGGCUGACUAGGCAUUCUGUGGACCCUUCCUUCAUUACUCCCCUUCAAGCUGAGCUGAAGUUUUGACAGAAGCUCCAAGCUUGUGUAGAAGACUAUAAUGCUGUUUAACAGAGAGAGGUUUGGUGAGCACAUCAGCAAUCUGCGAAUGAGAUGGAACAUAGUGUGUAACAAUUGCUCCAGAUUGAACCUUGUCUCGAAUGUAAUGGCAGUCUAUCUCAACGUGCUUUGUGCGUUCAUGGAGCACAGGGUUUGCAGCAAUUGAGAUAGCUGCCAUGUUGUCACAUUGAAGAACAGUUGGUGGCAAGUUUGUGAGUCCCAUAUCUUGCAACAGAGCCGUAAUCCAAGUAAUUUCGCAAGCAGUGAGAGCCAUGGCUCUGUACUCCGCCUCAGCAGUGGACCUUGCAACUAUGUUUUGCUUUUUCGAUUUCCAAGACACAGGAGAAUGUCCCAGAAAAAUACAGAAGCCUGUUGUUGACCUUCGAGUGUUUGGGCAGCUAGCCCAAUCACUAUCGCAAUAAGCCUGGACUUGUGCUGCAGAUGAGGAUGCUAGAAGUAUACCUUGCCCUGGAUUGCUUAGUAAAUACCUUAAAAUUCGUUUGCCAGCCUGCAUAUGAACUGUGGUGGGGCUUUGCAUAUAUUGACUCAACACAUGGACAGGGAAUGUGAUGUCAGGCCUCGUGAUAGUUAAGUAAAUAAGCUUGCCGAUGAGCCUCUGAUAGGUGUAUGGAUCAGUCAAAAGAUCGCCCUUUGUAUGACCUAACUUAAGAUGAAUAUCCAUAGGCAACUUCAGAGGAGUGGCAUUGUGCAUGCCAAACUCAGUUAAGAGAUCUUUGGUGUACUUCUUUUGAGACAGAAAGAAGCCUGCAUCUGAUCUUUCUAUUUCAAUGCCCAGAAAAUAGCUUACAUCUCCGAGAUCUUUCAUGUGAAAAGAACCAGACAAGUAUGUCUUCAGGUUAAGAAUGGCUUCAUUUGAAUUGCCGGCAAUGAGAAGGUCAUCAACAUACACCAAGAUAAGUGUGAUUGAGUUGGAGGUUGCUUUUGUGAACAGACUGUAAUCUGUUUUUGAUUGAGUAUACUCCAGAGACAGAAGCUUGGCGGAAAGUUUAUCAAACCAUUUUCUUGGGCUUUGCUUCAAACCAUAGAGGGACUUGAUGAGUUUGCAGACCAUAUUUGUAUGUGCAGGGGUGAGAGGAUGAUCGUAAUCAAUUCGGCUGCCAAGUCCCGUAUAUCCCUGUGGGAAUUUCAUGUACACCGUCUCUUGGAGGUCACCAUGCAAGAAUGCAUUGGUGACAUCCAUUUGAAUAACUAUCCAAUCUUGCAUUGCAGCAACUGCUAGUAAGGUUCUGACCGUCGUGAGUUUAGCAACGGGAGCAAACGUCUCUAGAUAAUCAAUACCAUAUAUCUGUUUGCAGCCAAGAAUAACCAAUCUCGCCUUGUACCUUUCGAUUGUUCCAUCAGGAUUGAACUUUGUUUUGAAAACCCAUUUGCAGCCUAUAGCUUUUUUGUUUGGAGGCAAAGUUGUGAUCUCCCAUGUUUUGUUGUCUUCAAGAGCGGUCAAUUCUUUGUUCAUUGCAUCUAUCCAACACUUGUGCUGAGCUGCUUGUUUGAAUGACAUAGGAUCUGCUGCAUGUUCCAAAGAUGCCAGAAAACAGUUGAAUUGAGGUUUGACAUAAUGAUCAGCUAUCUGAGCUAUGUUGGCAGAAGUAGACAAUGAGUGACUGUAAUCAUUAAGCCAUCCAGGAGGUUUACUUAUUCUGGAGGACCUUCUGAGGUCAUUGUUAGGAGGUGGAGGAUCAUUGGUUUGGUUUGAGGAGGGCUCAGGGUUGGUUUCAAGUUCUGGAAUAUCAAGGUCAUCAAAGUCUGGUGUUGGAACAGAAGGAGGCAUAGGACAAGGUGUAGGUUCCAGAUAAGUGUUUGAGGAUGGGUUAUUAAAAGGAAAAAUAUUUUCUUGAAAGGUUACAUCUCUGGAAUUGAAGGUUUUCAUUGUGGUUAAAUUUAGUAGUUUGUAGCCUUUGGUACUAGUGGAGGUGGGGUAUCCAAGCAAGACACAUGGAACUCCCCUUGGCUGGAAUUUGUCUGUAGAUUGAUCAGGGUUCGAGGCUAGAGCUAGGCAUCCAAAUGUUCUCAAGUGGUCGUAUUCAGCUGGUAUAUUGUGUAGGACCUCAAAUGGUAUUUUGAAGUUUAAGGUUCUAGUUGGCAGUCUAUUAAUCAAGUGCACAGCUGUCAUAACAAAAUCACCCCAGUAGGAUAAUGGUAACCCGGAUUGAAACCUCAAACUUCUAGCUACUUCAAGAACGUGUCUAUGUUUUCUUUCGACCCGAGCAUUCUGUUGGGGUCGAUUGACACAAGUCUUUUGAUGAACAAUCCCAUUUUCAACAUAAAACUUUUUACACUUAUCAUCCGAGAAUUCAGGGGCAUUAUCAGAACGCAAACAUUUGAUUUUAGCAGUGAAAUGCGUGUACACAUAAUUGUAGAAGGCUUGAAAGCAGUCUAUGAAGUCAGAUUUCUGUUUCAUCAAGUAUAACCAGGUGACUCUAGACAUAUCAUCUACGACAGUGAGAAAAUAUCUGAAAUGACCUCGAGUACACACACGAUAUGGACCCCAAGUAUCUAUGUGCACUAAAUCAAAUGCAUUACUAGCGUGGGAAGUGCUCAGAACAUAAGGUAAUUUUGAAAAUUUUGCCAUAGGGCAAGUAAUGCACACCUGAUUGUUGCCGGUGAGAGAAGAACUCAGUUGAGGAAUGUGCCCAAUAGUAGACAUUGCGGCGUGUCCAAGCCUCAAGUGCCAGGUGCUGGAAGUCACAGUAACAGAGUUACAGCUUGCUCCAACAGCAUCAGUGAGGUAGUAUAAACCAGAGUUAAUGUGUCCUGUGGCCUGGACUUCUGCAGUGCCAGCUUUUAGAAUUUCGCAAGUAAAAGGUGUGAACCUCACAUCACACUUGUUGUCCUUUGCCAAUUUAUGAAUUGACAAGAGGUUGUGCUGAAACUGUGGCACUACAAGCACAUUGUGUAAGAUCAAUCCACACUUAAGCUUUACAUCUCCCACAUGUGUUAUGUGUGACACAUCUCCAGUUGGGAGGUUAAUUGUCAAGUUUUUAGCUGCAGGCUUGACAUUAACCAAGAGAUUUACAUCAGCUGUCAUAUGGUCACUCGCCCCUGAGUCGACAAUCCAAGUCCCCUUGUCUGCUACUGCUAAAUUGCACGCCACCAUUCUAGAGAAGGCAUGAUCAAGUUCCUCAUCAGAUUCCGAGCCCUUAAAUGCCUGUACAGCAUUUUGUGGCAUAUAUUUCAACAAGUGUUCAAGUUGUUGAGGGCUGAAAACAAUUUCCUCUGUCUGAGUGUUUUGGACAUCAUUAUUUGCCAUUCUUGGAGGCCUAUAUCUGUUGCCUUGUGGUCUGCCAGUAGCCACAUUGUUGUUUUGGCCUCUGUUGUUACCUGGUGGUCUAUAUUUAAAAUGUCAUUUUGGGUAUCCAACUUUAGACCAACAUUUGUCAGUUUGGUGCCCUUUGCCCCCACAUUCAGCACAACCCAUCCUGCCCUGGCUAGCACUGGUAUGAGGCCCUGUAGUAUUCAUUGCAGAAAAUUCAACAUCUAAAUUUUGCAAGACAUCGAUCUGUGAUUCUUCUUGUUGUAUCACAGCGCACGCAGCUUCAACAGGAGGUAAGGGAUGACGCAUUAGCAAUUGACUGCGCAAUGAACUAUAGGCAUCGUCUAGUCCAUUCAAGAACACAAAAAGUUUUGCCUCUUCUCUCUGGGUGUUUNGUUAACAAGCUUUGAGAAAGAUUCUACUUUAACCGAGUAAUGGGAGGGAGGGGCAUCUCUAUGAUAUCUAACGAUUCCUGUGACAAGAAUUUAAAGUACACUAUUGAGAUUUGCAUAAUAACAUGAAGACACGUAUUUACACUUUCAAAAGUACUAAUUUAUUUGAGCAUACGAACCUUCAUCAGUGUAAUUAUACGCAAUAGGAUUUAAGGUUCGUUCAUCUUCCAUAUCAGCUGGCUAGCUCUGCGCAUGCAAGUUCGACUCUCUGUUUAUGCUGUUAUAUAUGGAAGUAUCCAAUUUUUUUUUGGUAGUCAUAAAAAGAAGAAGCCUUUCAAUAUUUGGCAUGCAUAUAGAUUGCUGCGAACUAUUCGUAUUCCCGAGGCCUAAAUUUAUUAGUCCAAAAAGAGCAGCUACCAGCUGGCUCAGCUAGCAGUGUUGUAAAAAGCGCAUUAAGCGGCCGCUUAAGCGGAAUCGGCUCUAAAGCGUUUCGAUUUUAUACUAAGCGGGAGAUUAAACGUUUUUGAAAAUUAAGCAGACAAUUAAGCGGAUUAAGCGGUCAAAAUGAUGUUGACUUGCUAAUUUAAAAAAAAAAUAAUUUUGAAAUAUUAAUUUUUUAAUAAUAUAACUAUAAUUAUAUUAUAAAAUUAAAAAAAUAUAUUUUAUCAAAAAUAUUAAAAAUGUAUAUUCUUAACACAACAUAAUAUUACUUUUAAAUAUAUUAAUAUUAUAAUUAAAUAUUUAAUUAUAUUUAAUUAAUCCGCUUAUUGACCCGCUUAAAAUUCCUCUUAAGCGUCCGCUUUACCGCUUAAGCGCUAGAAAGUCCUCCUGCCGCAAAAAAAAAAUAAUUUUGAAAUAUUAAUUUUUUAAUAAUAUAACUAUAAUUAUAUUAUAAAAUUAAAAAAAUAUAUUUUAUCAAAAAUAUUAAAAAUGUAUAUUCUUAACACAACAUAAUAUUACUUUUAAAUAUAUUAAUAUUAUAAUUAAAUAUUUAAUUAUAUUUAAUUAAUCCGCUUAUUGACCCGCUUAAAAUUCCUCUUAAGCGUCCGCUUUACCGCUUAAGCGCUAGAAAGUCCUCCUGCCGCUUAGAUACGACGAUUUGCGCUUUUAACAACACUGCAGUUAGGAUAUCAUGUUCUAUGCUUCGACUUCAGAAGUGUCAAAUAAUGAAAACCUAGAAUAUAGAGGGACAGAGGGAUUAUUAAAUAUUAGGAUUUUGUGUGGACAAGUUUAAAAAAAAUGACUUAUUACUUAAAGUAAAGUAAAAAGUGGAUUAGUAGUAAAAAAUAAAUAAGUUCAUAAAGUAUUUGGAAAAAAAAAACUCUGAAAAAAAUACUAGCAUUCUCAAUUUAUUAAAAAUAUUUUUACUUAUUUAGAUAAACAGUUCAAAGUUAAAAAUACUUUUAAAAGUAUUUAUUUAUACAAACGAAUAAAAAAGGUAGGAGAAGUUAGAAACGAUUUCAGCUUGUCUUAAACAAAGUGACGACUGACGCGCUUAAGCCUUUGCGGCUACAUCCCCAGGUAAAAAGAAUCUAAAACGGUACCACGUGUAUAACCACUAGCAUUAACAGAGCUGAUUCAUUUUCUUCUUGAAAGCAACAAAAUUUAAAGACGAAGGCACGUAAAUACAACAAGGCAGUGCAUAUCCAAACCAUGAAUAUUUUCAAAAUAAGAAACCUUGGUUGGUGUUCAUCUUCCCAUCUUCCACUCUUCUGUGUUUGUGGUUAUAUAUACAGUACACAUAAGCCAUUAAUAUGUAUGACGAAGCGCACAGAUUAUACCUAACUAACAAUUCGAAUUUCCGAGGCUAGUUCAUCCUUGGCUCCCAGCUGGUUAAUCCAUGGCUCAUUCCAAUUUUCACUUCUUCGAUAUUGCAUUAUAUGAUUUUAAACAAGUGUUUAAUAUAUAAGUUAAGCAUGAAGAAAUAAAAGUUACUUGGUUGUUCAUCGUCUACUUACAAUAAACAUUCAAUGAUAGAAUUUUAAUAUUGCCUAAAAGAAUUACAAAUAUCUCGUCAAACUUCACUCCAUUUCUAAGAGAAACUAGAGACUUCUGUCAUAAUCUUAACCUUCGCUUGUAGCUCUAUGGUGUCAUCCACUAUGAAGCCGUUCCCUUCUCGUGCAAGUUCACUCAACGACAUGAAACUUAUCACACCCCAGGUACUAAAGUGAUUCGUGGGAUUAGUCCUGAUGAACCAUCUUUUUUCACCUGAAAUAAGAAUUAAUCUAGUUAGAUAAUUCAUCGGACAAUCAUAGCACUUGAUUCUUCUUGCUUAGGCUUUAGCAUUGCUGUUAAAUCAUAAAACAUACUUGUGCUUUGACGAUCCCAACUGAAUAUUUGAUUCUUCCACAGCAAGGAGAACUCUGCAAACACUUUCUUCCAAGAUGGAGGACUCUCAACCAAUCGUAAAAACAAAGACAUGUGAUCUUUGAUUCUGGAAUCCCCAUUGGGAUAAAGAAGUAAACUAAACACCUUAAUUGUGAAACAGAAGAAAGGAAAAUUCAGCAUUCAUUUCUUUACAGUUUUUUUACACGACUCGACACGUUAAGACUUUUAUAAAACAUAAUUCCGCAAGUUAUCUUUGGGAUAUUUUUUUUUAUAUAAAAAUUCAAACAUCAAAUUUUUAUUCAAAAGAAAAAAAAUUAAAAACCAAGUUACGAAAAUAUGUUUUCUGGGAAUAUAGAAUGCAUGCCAAACUCUCGUCCGUUAAGAUAAACUACCUAGGGGGCAGAUGGAGUAAUUCAUAAUAAUUGAUUAUUUUAUUAAUAAUUUAGUACCCGAUAGAUUAUAAAUACAACAAAUAUAUCCAAAUACAAAAGUUAAAAAUUAUUUUUCACUAAUAAAUAAUUUCUUAUUUAUAACUAAUACUAAUUAAAAACAAAUUUAUAAAUUUUUUUAAGUUAAAGACAAACUAAAAUUUAGAUGAGCCAAGCUAAUUAGUUUGGAUGCAAAUGAAUAACACGAGAACUUACCACUUGCUUUCGCCACAUGUGAAUUUCUCUGACGCAAGGCUUUGCGGGUGAACUUUCUCUCGGCGAAUUCCGGAGAACUCACAGAUUUUCCAAUCGAAAGUGGCUUCGACAGGAUCGUCAAUUAUUUUUAUAGUCUCACCAAUUCCAGUAUUUUUAACUUCAAAUACUUCGACACCAAAUAUACAAGAAUCAUCAAUCAGAUAACCAUUUGUUGCAUCAUUGAAAGUCUCUAAUGAUAUCAAUCUGUCAAAACCCCUUUCUUUCUUUGCCUGAUGAAACCGGCGAAUUUGAUGCACAGGGUCAUCUUCACAAAGAACACACAAACUAAUUAAUUAUCAUGCGAAGAUCAAAACAAAUAAAAAUCAUAAUAAAAUCUUUAACAUAAACACACCUUGGAUUGUCAAGUACUGAUCCUUGUUGCGAUCAAAAACAAACAUCUUAUAAGUUACAUAAGCCUCCCAACCAAGAGGAAGUGAGUCUGUCUCCUCUAUUACUAAGUAAAGCGAUAUAUGUCCUCCACCACCUCUUCUUGCGUUUCCAUUCGGGUAUAAAACUAACCGCCUACAACAAAGUUUAAUAACCAUAUAAAUAAUCAAUUACUAAUGAUUUAAUUAACGGAGAAAAAAUGAGACUAGUACCAUGUGUAACCGUUAGCAUCAAACGUAGCAGAUUCAUAUUUUUCAUCCCCUCCGUCAACAAGCUUUGAGAAAGAUUCAACUUUAAGCGAGUAAUGAGCGGGAGGGGCAUCUCUUAGAUAUCUUACAACUCCUGCUACAAGAAAUGAGAGUACCCUUCUGAGAUAUAUAUACCAAAAUAUUCAUAUCGAAAGUACAAAACAUCUAAAUAAAAAAACCUUGGUUGGUGUUAUCUGGAACCGGAUUGAAAGUUCGUUCAUCUUCCAUAUUUUUACUCUGCUCACUCGAGUAGUAUUUGAUGAUGGCACUCUCUAUUAAUAUACGACUAUACGAGGCAUUUUCUUGCAAUCAUACAAAGAAGAGCUAGCCUUUCCAUAUACAUUGUUCCGAACUGUUUGUAUUCCCGAGGCAUAGAUGCAACCCCCGAGCAAGAGCGGCGGCCAGCUGCUCCAUUCAGGAUUUUGUAUCGACUGAGAGCAAGUCCAACAGUGUCUUAGUUAGUUGAAGCCCUAAAUAUAAUAUAAAAAAUUAUGUCCUAGUAGUUUAGGACAUAUUCAACCAACUUCAACUCCAACAAUGUGCCUUAUUUUCUCUAUUUGUUUAAUAUUUUAUUAUUAAAAGUUCACUUUCAUCAUUAAAACAUAAUAUAAAGUAGAGAGAGAAAGAGGGUGUAGAUAGAAAUUUAUUAUAAAAUAUGGGAUAGGGCAGGGAGAGAGAGUGCCUCAAAAAUAGGGCUUGAAGGAGUUGUCCUAGUGAUAUAAGGCAUCACUAGGACAUUGUUGGAGCAGUCUUUCUUAUCAAAUGCCUUAAAUUUUAACUUAGAACAACAAUUUGAGGCACUCUUGGACUUGCUCUGAUGUACACUUUAUGUUCUUCUGAAAAAUUAAUCAGUUUUAUAAUUUUUCAAUUAAUUAGAUAAUCAGUGUAGGUUGAUUGAUUAAUAUAUUUGAUGCAUUUUGGACUUAUGUGUUGUAUUUUUAUGAUUACAUUUUUUUUUUUACAUUUUAGUCAUAAUAUUAGUAUUUUUGUGUGAAAUCGGAUUAAUUUAAUCUAUCAUCAUUUUUUAUCGUAAAAAUAUUAGAUUGUAAUAAAUGGAUUGUAGCAUAGUUACUUCAGUUGAAGUAAAUUCUAUAAAUAUUCAGCUUAUCAAAAAAAAAAAAAAAUCACAUUUUUGGUAUACAUGUGUGAUGUAUUCAAUAUUUUGAUCACGGCGAAAGUAUUAUUCUAGAAUAAUACAUGUGUAUGUUAAUUAAUGACCAAACCGGAUUUGAAAAAUAUGCAAACCACAUAUUAGUAGUGAGUUCAAUAUUCUUUAUACAAAUUAAAAUUGGAAUUAACAAGCUAAACUUCACCUAAACUGUCUUACAGACCAACAAUUAUAAAUAUAUUUAUAAAGAAAAUAUUAAUAGAUCAAACUAAAAAUAAAUUUAUCACUUAUAAUAAAAGCUCGAUCUUGUAAAAAAAAUAACUUAAUUAUAUUAUUUUAUUUUGCAUUAAGUUAGUACAUAUCUAUUUUUUCGGAUAAUCUAAUAUAUAUGAUAUUUAUAUAAUAUCUUAUGUUAUGUUAUUUAUUAGUUAGUUAAAAUUAUUAAAAAAAUAUGCAUGACAAUUUAAGUAUACAUUAUCAUAAUAAAUUAGAUUAAAAUAAAUCAAUAUUUAGAUCUUUCAGUUAAUUCUAAAUUUGCCAAAUAAUCGAUAGAAAAUAUCAACACAACGUACUGAAGAAUUAGGUAACAUCAUGCAUUUUUAAUUAUAUAUUUUUUUUUGAAAUAGAGCACCGAAUUUGAAGUCUUUUAAGAUAUCCUACCUCCGUCCCGUCGGAUUGUUUAUGUACACUGUUUGCACCAUUGUGAGGUCUUCGUAAAGUAUGGUUCUAUAAUAUAUUUUUAAAAUUUCUUUUUUUUUCUGAAUAAAUAUUUAAACGUCAAACUUUUUUUCAGGAUUUUUUUCAAAAAUAAAUAUAUAAUAUAAGUAUAUGUUAUAGGAGCCUUAAAAUGCGUGCCAAAAAUUAACGUAAAUAAAUUGGUGGGACGGAGGGAGUAUUGUUUUACAAAGGGUACCCACGUAUUGAAACACAAAAUUAUUAAAACCUCCACAGUAUAGAAAGACAAGAGUUUAAGAAAUCAUACUUCCACAUAUAAAUGAAAAAUAAAGCUUAUAUAACAUAUUUCUAACUCUUUUUUUUUAAUUAAGUGGAAUUUGCAGUUGUGGUCUUAAUCAUAGUCUUUGCUUGUACCAUUAUAUCGUCUUUUGGUUAGGAACUACCUACCACAACUUGUCGUAUCACCAAUAAUGUGAAUUAUACUCUAAGGAAAAAAAUUAUUUUGUAAAAUUUUAACCCGCAUGUAAUUCUCGUCAUUUAGGUGAACAAUAAUUAUAAAAAAAAAUAAAAAUUCACAAAAUAUAAUCAUUUGGAUUUUCAUAUAUGCAUCUCUAUCAUCCACAACAAAUCUAUAUUGAUAAAAUUCUUGAAUAUGCAUACAUAUAUUCUUAAGAACUUCUCCCUUCUCCUAAUUUGUCUAGGAUGAUAGAUAUCUUUCAUAAGAAAGCAUUUACAAAAUACAUUGAUAUUGUAACACCGAUUAAAAUAUGAAUAACAUUAUACUUUACUAUAAUGUAACAUAAAAUUAGAUAACAAAUUUCCAGCUCUUAAUUUCAAGAAAAAUUUGCAACUUCUGCCUUGAUCAUAACCUUUGCUUGUAUCAAUAAAUCGUCUUUUGGUUUUGAGCUAAUCGACUCGCUCUGAAGCUGUUUUAACAAGAUGAACUUCGACCAACCCAUAUCGCGAUUUGUCCCAUCACCACUUGACGGGUUAGUGCUGAACCAUACAGAAGCUGUGAAAAAGUAAUAAGUGUUAGAAAUUCAUAUACAAAUAUUUUUUUUCAUACAAUUUAACAUAUGACAUACCUUGUUGUUGUUGAUCGCAAAUUUGAUUUCUUAUCCCCAAUGAAAAUUCUGUUAACACUUUCUUUCCGGUUGGAGGUCCCUUAACCAACUCCAAAAAUAAAGAUACACAAUCUUUGCUUGUCGAAUCCCCAUUCGGAUAAAGCAUCAAACGCCUUGGUUUACCACAUGAAUAAUGGAGAAAUGUUCAGUGAAUCUUAAACAAGUCACGAGAGUAUAAUAAAGUAUACAUAUAUGGGUGCUAAUAGUUAUCGGAACCAGGAUUCAUAAAUAGCCAAAAUCUAAAAUGCAUAUUGUUAAAUCUGGCCAUCAUCAUGUAUGAAAUCAAAUACGUGAUAAUGUUUAACUGAAAAUCAUGGAUUAUAAGAAAAUCUAUUCAAGGAUCAGUCGGAACUUUAGCCUAGACUGACCCCCCUUAUUUUCGCCCUUGCUAAUGGUACAGUUUUAUUAUUAAACACAUGAACCACCUAAGUUUGCAUGCGCUUUACACAUAAAAGAAGAAUAUGAUCAUGUUUCAAUUUGUACUUGGAAUCGCAGGCUAGUAGAAAUUGUAGUACUAUCAUUACAUAAUGAAAAUAAGACAUACUAACCAUUUAUAUUUUCCGACUGCAAACUGAUCCGAAAAUUCUAUUCUGCCAUUAGGUUUUCGCUUGCAAAUUUUGGAAAACUUAUCGAUUUUCCACUCAAAGGUAACUUCUGUAGGUUCCACAAUAUUCAUUACCAAAGUCUCACCAUUUCCUGUAUAUUUAACUGGAAAAAUUUCAACACCAAAUAUACAAGAGUCAUCAAUAAGAUACCCAUUUGCUGCGACACUGAAAGUGUCUAAUGGUAUCAAUUUGUCAAAGCCGUUUUCUUUCUUCUCUCGGUGAAAUCGAACUUGUUGCGCCGGAUCACCUAAACAUAAUUACAGAGAUGAAUGACCAAGAACAACAAACAUUAAUUAAGUCUUCAAUACGAAUAUGAAACAUUUAUAUAUCCAUCUAUCUAUGAACACACAUUCACGCACUUUGAAUGGUCAAGUAUUUGUCCUUGUUGUGAUCAUAUAGAAAAAUUUUGUAAGUUGCAUAAGCCUCCCAACCAAGAGGAAGCGAUUCCGUCUUAUCGAUGACGAGAUACAAAGAAAUAUGCCCUUCAAUCCCUCUUUUUGUAUUUCCUUUUGGGUAAAUAACUAUCCUCCUACGAAGAACAAUAAAAACAUACUUAUUAUCAUGCACAUUGUCGCACUUGUAAACUAAAGUAAUUUUUCGAUGAAAUAAUCUUACCAUGUAUAACCGCCAACAUCAAAUGCAUCUGAUUCAUAUUUAUCGAUUCCCAGAUUCGUAAAACCUGAGAACGGUUCUAUUCUUAACGAGUAAUGAGCAGGUGGCGCAUCUCUAAGAAUUCUUAAAACACCUGGAAGUAUUUUUUUGCAAAACAUCACAUGCUUUGGUUACAUUUUGUUGAAGAUAUCUUCUAACAUUUUAUCCAAAUCUUGAAAUCAAUGCGUUGAUGAAUUAUGAAUGAAAAAACAACAAAAGACAUGAUUGAAAAUAAGAAUAACAAUGUGCAUGCAUCAAAAUUUUUGUAAUGCAAAACAACAAACCUUGAUCGUCAUUAGAAUCUGGAUUCACUUUUUUUUCUUUCUCCAUAUAUUGUACCAAAAAGUCGUUCUAUUCUUGUGUUUGUUGAAUAUUUUGCUUCCUGAUAUUAAAAUAUAUGUGUAAAUGUAUGUAUGCCUUUCUAAGAAUAGUUAAUUGAAGUUAUAAAUUAUAUUUGCUAGAUUAUGAUUAUAAUUACAGAGGUGGUGCCAUAAGAUGUAUACUGUGUUUUGUACUUCUAUCCCUCCUGGCCCAACAAAAGUUUGGGCCUAAAUCUUCCUUGAAUAUGGACCAAAACAUGACCAGAACUAACAUGUUCAUCUGGACUCUCCCCAAUUCUCUCAAAUCCUCUCUCUCUCUCUCCCUCUCAAUUUCUUUGUUUUUCAGACACCCCCUGUUGCAAUAAAAAUCCAAUAUUUUUCUCCGAAAUCCAUUUUCUUGAUCUAAUUUAACCCAAUUGUCCCAAAACCAAAAACCCAUCUUCAAUUCUUGUUAAACAGAGCUUUGCAACACUAUAAUCCUCGAACUGUCGAAGAAGUUUUUAGGGAUUUCAAGAGCCGUAGAGCUGGCAUGAUUAAAGCCCUCACCACUGGUAAUUCUGCUGUUUUCUUGACUUGUUUGUUGGAUUUCUUUAAAAAAGUUUCGAAAUUUGCUAAAUUUUUUUGUGGGUUUUGCAGAUGUUGCUGAAUUUUACCAGCAAUGUGACCCGGGUUAGUGAUGAUUAUGUUAUUGGUUGCUUAAUUUGCUUUUAUUUGAAUUUUUUGUGGAAUUAAUUAUAGUUUGUAAUUGUGUGAUGUAUACUGUUUAAUAAGUAAGUACAUGUUAUUAUGCUAUGUUAAGAAUUGCUGAUUAUACUUAAAACAGCUUUAACCCGAAAAGCAUGAUGUGUGUAAAGUGAAUAUGAAUGAUUCUAUUUUUUGGCAGUAAUUAAUAUGUACAUUGCAUGGGAAGGUUUGAAAAAAAUGAAAGUUUUAGUGAAUGGCAAAUCCGAAACCAUACAGACCAACACAUGAACAGAAGGAGAUUUUUUAAAGAUUAGUUUCUAUUUCGUUAGUUGUAAUGGAAGCCAAAAUAUGUUUGUUUAAGUGGAUGCCAUAUUCUAGCAGACCUUUUUAAAGUCUCUCCCAAACGAGGAGUGAAUAGUAUGUUUCUUAAGUGUUCCUAGUGACAUGUCUAAAUUGGAAUCAUGUUUUCUGUAUUUUGAACUUGUGCUCCUAGCUUCAUCUUUUGGUCAUUGAUAUAUUAUGGUCUAAGUCGCUCAGACUCGGGUACGGAGUGUCGGACACGACACAUAUCCGAGUGUCGGAUUCGGGACCUCUGAAAAUCUAGGACACGGGGACACCGUCCGAAUUUUAGACACGGGUGCGGGGACACAGCAUAAUAUAAUAAUAAAUUUUAUAAUACUUUUUUGCUCAUAUAUAGACUAUAGUCACUGCCAGUGGACAAAUUCCAAACUCCAGAUCCAUAUUUCAAGAAAAGAUGUUAAUACAAAGUUCAGCAGUAAGCCAGUAACAAAGAUAAUAACAUCAGAAAGAGUUCAGAAGUUAUAAAACUUAAACAAUCAUAAUAUCUUAAACACAAGAUAACAAGAUCAUCAAAAUCAUUGCUCUGCCUCUGCCUCUGUCUCCAGGUUUAAUUUAGACAUCAAAUGUAAUAGCUUCAAUUUCAGGAUCAUCCAAGGACAAAUCAGCAAUCUCCAAGAUGUUGUCACCAUCAAAAUUAUCCCCUCCUGUAAAACAAACAAAUAUAUAUUUAUUUAAAAUCUUAAAAACCUACUCAGAAGUCAGAAUAAAUUAAAUCUUUAAAAACCAAUAUAUAUUACCAACGUCCCAAUAUUUGCAUGGUCUAGAGGUAUAUUCUGGUUGCUUUCGGAGAUCAUCCGGAUGUUGUUGUGCACGUAGACCAGGUCUUCAGUUCUUUGUGUGGCCAGCUGAUUCCUUUUAACACUCUGAAUGCUACCAUAAGUGCUCCAAUUACGUUCACAACAGGAAGAUGAUGCCAGUUGUGAAAGUAAUUUAAAAGCAAGCCCUUGCAAUAACGGCGUAAAUGAGCCAUAAUUAGCCCACCACGACAUGUGAUCUUCUUCUCCCCUUGAUGCCAUCACAUGGGGCUGACUAAAGUACUCCAGUUCACAAGCAAAAGCUCCAUACUCUUUGGUUACUUUUUUAAGAUCUUCUGGCUUGUCAAAAAUCCUCCUAAGACAUGCCUCUCUAUUUAGAGAUAUCUCUUCAUCUUCGAUUGGUGCUACGCGACGAAUACCGCGACCACCCCCUUGAAGCCAUUCUUGAGUAUAGUAUUUGGGGACGAGAGAGUGUGCCAAACAAUGGAGCGGUGUGUUGCUUUUAUUCCAUCUGUCCUCUAUUAUCUUAUAGAUAGCAUCAAAAAAAGCUGAAUUUCCGGUUAACAAGUCUUCGUCUUCAUGAUCAAAAAUGCAGCUCCUAAUAUCUUCUAUCAUUGUAUCCCACAUAUCAUAGACUAAAUGCAAGAUACAUGAAUCUUUAUCGGCAACUCUUAAAAAUCUCAUCAUAGGCUCAGUAAACUUUAAAAAAUAGUCGAUUUUGUCCCACCAAGUAUCACUCACUAAGGUGUCCUUUAUUUCUCUAGAUUUUAACUCAAUAGCAUUUCUUAAAUUGCCUCUGAUUUGCUUCCAAUCAGGAUCCAUAACUGUUUUUUCCAAGGCCUCUUUUACUCGUCUCAUUCUUCUUAACAUUACAAUAUUAGACGCAAAUCUAGUUUCUGCUACUUUAAGCAACUUUACCUCUGAGUAUCUACCAAAUAUCAUCCUUGGCAAAGAAUGAUUCAAAAUGAAAUAAUUAAUUUCACGAACUUGAGUAACCAAUUCUUUUAUCCAGGCACAAUGAGGGUAGUAAUCAGAUUUCUCGCUAGGUUCACAAAUAUAUUUAAUAGCCAAAUUUAAAGAAUGUACCACACAUGGUGUCCAAAAAAUUCGAGGAUACUUGGUUUCAAUUAACGCACCUGCUGCCUUGUAAUUGGAGGCGUUAUCAGUGACUAUUUGGACAACAUGUUCUGGACCAAUCUCUUCCACGAUCUCCAUGAAUAGUGCAGCUAUAUAUUCAGCAUCUUUUACUUUAACUUGGCUAGCAUCAACUGAUUUUAAAAACAUUGGACCAGCAGCUGAUGCAACCAUUAUAUUGAUCAACGGUUUUUGCUGGCGAUCACACCACCCGUCUGAGCAUAUAGAUGCACCUUUCUUUUUCCAGCUAUCUUUGACAGGUUGAACAAGUCUCUGAACAUGUUGUUUCUGCUGUGACAAAAGUGUGGUGCGAAGACGGUUGUAUGUAGGAGGAGUGUAGCCUGCCACAUUUGAAUUGGCUAGUUUUAGAGAGUAACUUCGGAAGAAGGGAUUCCUUGCAAAGUUGAAGGAUAUGCCACUAGUAUAGAACAUCAUGGCACAAUCUUUAUCAAUUUCAUCUCGAUCAGCCACAUUAAAAGCGAGUUCCAAAGCUCCUUUUCUUUUCUUGGGUUGUACUAGAUCAGACCCUCCUUGAUAUGCCAUGUACUGGUUUCUUUGUCUCGCAUUCAUGGCUUCUUUUGCUACUUUUUCUUCGGCCCUCUUGUGCUCUGCUUCUAUUUGACGAUAAACAUCAUCUGAAAUUCCUUUGCAUGCUUCAACACCCAUGUUCGAUAUUUUCAGAAGAUGUGCUCUAACUUUUGUGUAAGAACCAGUCACUAUUUUAUUACAAUAUCUGCAUCUCCACUUUCUAUUACCACCACCACCGAUUGGAGCAUCCAAUACCUCGACAUGAAGCCAUAAAGGCUUGUCAUCUUUGCUUGGAUUCAAAAGUUUUUUAGAAGACAUGAUCGAAUAAUGAUCCUGAAGCAAGAAAGCUUAUGAAUUUAUAGAUGAGAUUUGAGGGACUAAUAAAAUUGAAUGGAACUAAUAGAAUAGAGUGCAGCUUUUAAUUCUCUCUGGAACCUAAAGAGUCACUGGACUUGGAAUUGAAAAAAUCAUAUUAUGUUUAUAACGGUGUAAAAAUGUAAAUGUCCUGGCCACGUAUGUAUUUUAUUUUUAUUUGUGAAUUUAAAUGUACUUAAAAUUUUCUAUUAAGGGUGUAAAUUUUUUGGUUAAGGGUGUAAAAAUCGAAAAUUGAUUCAAUUAAACUUAAUUGGGAAAUAAGUACUUACAAACUUUAUUAAUAAGUAUAAUUGAUUCAUAUUAUCGAAAUAAGUACUAGGAGAAAUAUUCGGAUAUUUUUUUAUAAUAUUAUUUUAGAUUAAAUUCACAUAUUAUAUUUUAAUGUACAACUAUAAAAUCACUACUUUCUUUAAUUUAUAAUUUAUAAUCUUUAUUAAUAAGUAAAAUGCCUUUUCGAAAUAAACCGUUUAAUAUAAUUAUCAAUUCUGGUUGAUAAUUAUAUUAGACUAUUAAAUAUUACUUGUAUGAAAGUUGGUGUUUGGCUCAAAUCAAACAUGAUUUGAAUGAUACUUAUACGAAAAUUAGUGUUUAGUUAAAAUCGGUGUGACUCGACUAGAAUCGGACCUUAUAAUCGAGUAUUAGACCAAGUUGAUCCGACAGGGUACUUGUUUUCGUCAUGUUACGUUACACCGUAUUUUGGUGUUUGGCUGAAAUCAAACUCGAUUUGAAUAAUAAUUACACUCAAAUUGGUGUAUGGUUUAAAUUGGCACAACUCGGCUAGAAUCACUAAUUAAAGUAACCACUAAAAAAAUUUCAAUGAAAUUAAUUUAAUUUCUUUCCUACUAUCUAGAUAGUAAAGACAAGCUAUAAAAUAGAAAAUAUGAUUUAUUACAAUUCAAGUGUUAUAAACUUCUUAAGAUCAUUUUAAACUAGCAUUUUAGUUUCAUAAUUUUUUUUAUUUAAUGGCUAUAUAAAAUUCAAACAAAUUUUCGAUAAUUUCAUAGUUAAUGUGACGUCCCGAACCUGGGGUUAGAGUUCUGGAGCCACUAACCAAAUUAAAACACAAAUCUAAAGUUUAUCUAGGAAAUAUAAUUAAGCUCACACGACAACCCCAACAACAGGAUCUUUAUCAGGUUAAGUAUGUCACAGGUUUACAACUUAUAACAGAAACAUAACAAGAUGUGGGACAAUCUCUACAUGAGAUUACACCAUAUCCCUCAAAACCAACCUACAGAAAUAUCUAGAUAAAGCCAGAAACCUAGUUUAGAUAUGACUCCAUCUGCCUGAAACUACUUGAGAGCUACUGAGCCAGAACGAAGAGCUAGAGGAACGUCCUGGGCUAAUCCUACGGCAAGAAGGGCGAUUGUGAUAUAUCUGAAAAGGGUUAGUAAUAAACAAAACAAGGGUGAGCUCAGGAAUGCUCAGCAAGUGCUAGAAUAUUCAAAUGUACGAUAAACAGUAAGAAAAUUGAGAUGUAAACAAAUCAGUAAGUAAAGCUGUAUAGUAAAACGAGUAUGGAAGCAGCAUAGUAAAACGUAACAGUUCAAAAAUAGUUUAAAAUCAACUACUAUCUGCUUUUCAAAUCAAGUUGAAGCCUCUGCUUCUAAAUCAAAAGCUUUUCAAAUCAAUUUGGAAGUAACCCUUCCUCUAAAAGCUUUUCAAUUCAAAUAGGAAGUCCCCCUUCCUUUAAAACCAAAAUCUCGAACCUGUUUACAUGUUGGAUUUAGAUAAGACGCAAUGGUCUGCGAAAGAUGAUCAGUCCUUCACAGGCCCCAACAAUACCUAAACACAUUAGAUAAUGUUGAACAAUAAUAUCCAUGGAUUCACAUAUACAACCAGAUCUGUUAAAACUUGGGACUGGCGCCUCAGCCACUUAUUAACCGUACCAAAUGCCUUACAAAGUUCGAGUAGUUUCCAGCUUUACAUUUCAAGAAAAAGGUUUAUUCCCUCAGAAGUAUACUUAUAACAUAUAAGCUUGAAAGGAACUAAACCGAGCUGUGAAAAUCAUUUAUAAAUAUUUUGAAACCAUGUGUACCAAUUUGGCAAAUUUAACCUUUCAAAUCAAAACCGUACUUAUAUCAUGCAUUUGAAAUAAGUAAAAGUUUUAAGGAAAGUACACUUGCCUGAGCUGAGCAAAAGACACAAGGUGUGGAAUACUACUACUGUCGGGAACCUACAUAAUUUAAAAGACUAGAUCUCAAUCGAGAGUCUUAUCUUCAAUAACCUCAACUAAUAGACUACCCUUCGUCACAUAAUAGUUUUACAUUAGCACGUAAUACCAAAUUUGAUCACAUAACACGUAAUCCUAAACUAAAGUUUUAAUAAAAUUUUGGCAGCAUUUCCCCUAUACAUAGAUCUCUACCAAAAUAACCAAACACAACAAUCAAGCCAAAAAUUCAAUCUCCAACCAAAAUGUGUCAACCAAACUCCAUUUCCCUUUCCUCCUUUUAUAAUAUUCGAGUACUCAUAAAUGAAUAUUAUUACCAUUGAAAAAUUAAAAUAUCAAAAUACUCCAUAAAUUCGAUUGUAACAUCUUAAUCAAUUUCCUUCUUUUAAAUUAACAAAAAUUCGAACAUAUAUAUAAUAUUAAUAAUUUGAAUUUUUCGAAUUAAUAUCAUAAAAUCGAAAUCAUGCAAAUUGAAAUUUAACUCUUAAAUUCAAAUAUAUAUUAGCCUCUAAUCACAACACAAUUACCACGUAAUCACAUAAAAAGGCUUAGCAAUUCCUCCUCUAUUUUUUUAUAAAAGCCGAUUAUAUACACAUAUAUAUAAGUAGUUUAAAUUUUGAAUUUAAAUAACCACACAAUCAAUAUUCCCUACAAAUGAUUCAAAAUCAAGUACCACAAUUAGAACAUCAUAAUUAAAAUUAAUUUGAUAAUAAUCUACUCAUACUUAUCAUUAAUCAUGUAUAUAAUCGCAUAGCCAUUCAAUCAAAACAUAAAUCAUAGAUCAAAAUAAAAAUAAAGAUAUUAAAGAAGAAGGUUCGAAUUUAUACCCCUUGAAAUCGGAAAUGCUUGAAAAUCACUUGCGGAAUUUGUCCUAAAUACUCCCCGCACACUUGAUUAGAUUUGCAAGGAAAAUGUGUGGUGGUUUUGGAAUUUUGUAAAAUAAAAGAAAGGAAAAGAAAAGAAAUGGGAGAGGGGAUCUGGAAAGGGAAGAGGGGAGAGAGCCGAGAGGGAGUGAGCAGAGAGGUGAGAGAGAGUGGAGUGGUGUGAGGUGUGUGUGUGUGUUUUUUUUUUUUUUUUUUUUAUAUACAACUAAGGACACUUGUCCUACAUGCAUCUCACCACAUGGGUGAGUCAUCCCCACAUUAAAUCUGGUUGUGACACUUGUCACUAAUGCAAAUUCUCAGCUUCCAAAAGAUGCCAAGUGUCCUUGGCUCGUGUUUUAUCAUAUUUCGUUUCGUUUUUAACGUAACAAUUACGAUAUGCAAUUUAUUCGAAAAAUCAUCUAAAAAUCACGAAACAUUUACCACAGCUAGAUAAUAUUAUUAAAAGCUUAUAAAUAAUUUUUCAGAAUUUUUAAAUCAUUUUUGGAUAUUUUACAAAUUUUGAAAGUUUAAUACAAAAAUAUUUCACAGAAAAUCCAAUUUUUAUCAAAACUAAUAUUUCAGAAUUUUUAAAAGUCUUAAAAAUAAUUAUUAACAUUAUGGAACCUUAAAACGAAUAUUUGAAAUUAUUUUUGUAUUCUUCAUAAUUCAUUCUCUAAAAUAUCAAUUUUCGGAAGUUCACAAAUAAUUAUUAUAUAAUUAAAACAAACUACCACAAAUGUAUUUAUCCACACAAACACAUACGAGUAACAUGUCAAGGUCACAUAACAUAAAAUUUUCACUCUUAACAAAUAAUCACAUAAUUAUCAUUUAUUAUUUAAUAAUAAUCUAGCACAAAAUUACGAGUUGUUAUAGUUAAAUAGUGAUAUGUAUACAUUAUUGUAACAGUUGAACAGUUGCCCAUGAUGGAACGUUUGUGUAACAUACGAUCAAUUUAUAGGGAAUUUUUUUGUGGCAAAAGAAUAAGAAUAAGAUCCCGGUCACUGCGUAAGUGUGGCCGUAGAGCAAGACUGUGGUAUUGAUAAGAUUUUUGUUUCUGUUCUGUUCUAAAUUCUGAUGCUUUUAAAAUAUAAACUGUGGGUUGGAUUUGCUUUUACAAGUGUUUUAAAAAUUAUUAUUGUUUUGAGGAACAAUGUUUUAUAAAAACACCCACUGAUUUCGAGAUUAAUUGUUGGUCAAAUUGUUACUUGCUGAGCUGUGUAGCUCAUCCCCUUUUACAGUUUUUCAGGUUUGAUUUAAGAGCGAGUUGAUGUGCAUUGGAUUUGGAGUUUGAGGAUAUUAGAUUCGGAGUAGAUUGACGUUUGGACUUCCGUUAGCUGCACUUUUGUAAUAGUUAUUUUUGUAAGAGGAUUAUUGAUUAAUAAAAUUGUGUUGUAUUUUAGUUUUGGAUUUAGUUUUUAAUAUUCCGAAAAGUCGGGAUGUUACAGUUUGGGUACGAUAUAAAACUUAAAUUGAGUAGGAAUAUUCCCAACAUAGACAUUCAAAAUUAUAAAAUACUUCAUUCUUCUUAUUUUAAUGGCUUUUGACUUUUUUACACGUAUUUUAAGAUGUUAGAAAAAUCAAAUCUAAAUAUAAUUAUUCUUUACAAAAUUUAUAUCGAAUAAAAGUUUACAAAAUAUUGUUUUUUAUAACUUAAAUGUUGAAAUUUUUUUAAUUAACAUUUUGACUUUAGUUGUAAUUUUAAAAUUAGUGCACAUUAUAUUUAAUUUUUAUCGUAAUAAAAGAAUAUUCAAAAAUUUGAUAAAAUAAAAAAGUGUGAACAUCCAAAAAUAAAACUAUCAUAAUACAAUUUUGUUGUCAUGAUCAAAGUUUCAUGGACUAUUGUCAAAAAAAAUUCAAAUAACAAAUAAAUUCUUUUAUUUUUUAAAAGAAGUAAACAACUAUUUUGAAUUAAGUUAAAUGUGGCAGUCUGGCAGAUAUGCGUGAUGUUUUGAGUCCAGCUGUGUUUUGAGUCUUUUGACUUUCACCAAAACCGAGGUAUCUUCUUCAUCUUCUCUAUUUAUCUCCUAUACGCAACGUUUCUUUUCUUCUUGGUUCCUUUCUUCUUGGUUCCUUUCUUCUUCUUUUCAUCAUUCUGUAUCCAAUCACAUCAAACGAAAAAUCAGUAUCAUAUGAAUCAUAAAUGUGUUGAUUCUCAACAAGAACCACGCGUGUUCUUGUGAAACGCUGCUCCCGGCGUCUCCGGUCGCGACCCCCGGCGUUCCUUGUAUCCAUGGCUGAAACAUCUUUUGUGUCUGUAAUUUUCUCGACGAGGAAGACGACGUGUCGGAAAUUCACAUGGCGGAUCCGGUACGUAUUCCGGAUCGUGUCCCGUGUCGUGUCGGGUCGACACGGGUACGGUCGCCGGAAGUGACGAGUCGAAGUAACGUAGAUUGUGGUACAUAAUUCCAUUGCAUUCUCUCUGACUGUUCACAAGGGUUUGAUAGGAGGGAAAAGUGAAAAAAGAGUGAGGAGGGUGUAAAAUUUUCAUGUGGGACUAAAUCAGUUCACAUCUAUUUGAAUAUAAGAGAGAGGAAUGAAGAUUUUGAGUGUCUACACAGUAUUAUUUCCGUUACUUCCAGCCAAUUGGAAAUCAUUAUACAAAAGUUUCUUUACGUUCUUUAUUAUGUUGUGUAAAUCUUCUCAUUUAGAAUUUGCAAGUUCUUGAAAUGUAUUCAUUGAUUUCUUUUUCCUUGGUUGAGUUAUAGAGGUGUAUGCUUACUCCAGUUUUUCUUAUCCAACCAUUGCUCAUCUUUCCCGGAUGAGUGAAUCUUUAUGCAUUUUACCUAUAAUUCAGCAUGUCUUUCACGAAUGCGUAAAGCAUUUGUUAUUCAUUCUGUUGAAAUUUUAUGAUUUGCAACACCAAUUUGUCUAUUAUUGUCUCUUAUUGAGUAACAGAGAAGGAAAAUCUCUGUCUCUAUGGUUUUUCUGAUGAACGAUGGGAGGUCAAUUUACCUGCUGAAGAGGUGCCCCCAGAGCUUCCAGAGCCCGCACUUGGUAUUAAUUUUGCUAGAGAUGGUAUGCAAGAAAAGGAUUGGCUAUCUCUGGUUGCUGUUCACAGUGAUGCAUGGUUGCUUGCUGUUGCAUUUUACUUUGGUGCUAGAUUUGGAUUUGAUAAAGCUGAUAGGUACAGUACUGUCUUCUUUGUUCUUGUAGCAAAUGAUUACUAGUUUGCUCUUAUGCAAAACUUACGACCAACAUGUUUGUAUACCUAAAUCUACACUUGUAUUUUGACAAAAUGCAUAGCUAAUAUGCUAAUAAAUGUUUCACCUAAACUUGCUUAACAUAUAUGUGACCAUAGCAUUAAAGAAUACUUGACUUUUCUUUUUUAUUGUCUUGUUUGUGCAUUUACAUGAUUAUGUCUUAAGUUGGAAACGUGGGCACUUUGUUGCCCAAGUUACAUAAGCAAACCACAUUCAACUUUUCUGUUUUUUAUGUUUGAUAGAUAACUAUUGACUGUUCUGACUGUAUUAUAGAAAGUAUAUAUGGAUGUAAAAUCAGUUUAAAGUAGCUUACACUUUUAUGGGUGUUCGACUUCUUUCUCUAAAGGUGUGUUCUUUGUGGAGUGUAACCCAAUAUAUAUAGGGUAGCACUCCAUAGCAUACCCACAUCACUAUAAAUAUAUACAUAAUACACAUAUUUUUUAUAAAUAUAAUUAUAAAUUUUAAUUAGUAAACCGAAGCCAAAAUUAUACAAUUUUUUAUUCCAAAAAUCAUUCAAAAUUAUGUAAUAUUCCAACAUGAUUCUACAGCAGAAUAAUAAUUAUCCAGAAUUAUUCUAUUAUAGAACCAGUUUCAAAAAUCAUUGUUUGGUUCAAAUUCUAAAUGUUAAAUUAUUUAUAAUAUAUUUAUCAUUAGUAUUCUAUAUUAGAAUCACAUGUUAUAUCUAUUCUAUCAUAGAAUUUGUAAUAGAAAUAAGAAUUUAUAAUGGUGUACUACGUAACUCCAUAUAAGGAGGUUCUUCACGGAAUGUUGGCCAAUUUAUAUAUUAUACUUUUAAAUAAAUCUUGAGCGUCAAUGGUACAUUUUCUGACCAGAUUAGAUAACAUAUGUCAUCUCUGUUUUGUCUGUAGAAUACUCUUGAUUACAUUCCUUAAUAGUGCUCAAAAUAUAAACAAAUAAUAUAUUUUACCGAAUUGGGAAGUAAUGAAGAAUUGAACACGUAGGUGAUUUCUAAUUUGUCUGUAGAAUACACUUGACUAUCUUCUUUCACUGUGCUUAACAUAUAAAAAAGGAUUCUAUUUUAUCGAAUUGGGAUGUAAAGAAGAAAUGAAGGAUCUGUCAUCACACGUGUCAUGAGGUCUACCAAAUUAAAUAUGUAUGCGAUUAAUUGGUAGUUGUUCAGUGCUGUUAAGAAACUGCUUUGUGCUUCUUAAAGGCAAAUUUGGUUUUAAUAGUAAUUAAUUUUCAGGAAGCGACUUUUCAACAUGAUAAAUGAUCUCCCAUCAAUAUAUGAAGUCGUUACAGAUGUUGCCAAGAAGCAAACAAAGGAGAAAUCGGCUGUGUCAAACCAUAGCAGCAACAAACCUAAGCCAAAUCCAAAGGUAGUAAACACAUCUACAUAGUACCUUCUCAAUUCUAACAUAUUUUGUAUAUGAUCGAGUAGGAUUAUGUAUAAUUGUGAGGUCUAAAAAGUGUUGUAUAUGCAGUGUUGUUUAAGGCACAAUUUCUUAAAAAGCGCAGGACCUAAUUUUGAAGCAAGACUCGCGAAGCGCCAUUUAUCGCGCGCUUUUUUGUCGAAAAAAUAAGAUCAUAAAUUUUAGCAUAAAUACAUAACUUAUUAAAUUCCUAAGUUUCAAACAUAGGCGAGCAUGUGUUAUAUAACAAAUGAUUAAUAAUAAAGCAUUAAUCAACAAUAUUCAAAAAUGCAAAAGCUUCAGAGUCAUUUAGUUUGAUUUCGGUCCUUCAAAGUUCGAAUUCUCGUUCUUCCUUCUCCUCAUUUAUUAAAAUUGAAGAAGGCCUGUGAGUUGCAUUUUGAGGUAGAUGUUCCACUUGUCAAGCGCUUUAUACGAUAAAGAGGUUCCUCAUCACCAAAAGCAAUAAAAACAUAUAUCACUCUGAAUUCUGAUAUGGUCUUCGCCUUUGCGGACACACACCAAACUUAAGCGCUUUUUAGUGCUUAAGCAAGAAGGCACGCUUCUUGAGCGCUUUUUUGCUAAUUUAAGAAUCACAUUAACUCGCUAAUAUUAAAAAUCGCACAUCUUGCACCUAAGCGCAAAGCGCCAUUAGUCGCGCUUUUAAUAACACUGUGUAUAUGUUUUUUAAAAGUAAUAUAUAAUAAAAGCACAUACCAAACUGGAAAACAAAUUAUUAUGAAGUGUAUAUCUAAGGAUGUUAGAGCAGGCGGUAACCAAAUUUGAUUUGCGUAUAACAAUUUGUGACAUUCAGCAAUAAUUGUGUACCCUAUGACCAAGCCCUAAAUUUGGUAAGGAUAUCUCUUCCCUCCAUAAACGGAAUAUGAGAGAGAUUAGGGUACUAAAAAUUGGCACAUUGGCAUCUUCCCCAGUUUCUACUGAUAAUAAAGUCUUGUUUUGAUGGUUAUGACAUAAAUCUCUGCGUUCAAUGUAUAUACUCAAACAUUAAAUUGCUGGCUUUUUAUUGCUUAUAUUAAAUUUAAUGUUCUGGAUGUAAUUUAGGUUCAUGAAGCACUGCUGGCUAUCUUUAUUUUCCAUGGCCAGUACUUGAUGCUCAUUCGCAUGUGUACAAAAGAAGCUCAUGCAUAUUAUUUUGUAUAAAUGUGAUAUUAUAUAUAGAGCAGGACCUUUAGAAUAGAUUAUUAUAAAACUAAUGGGACUAGUUGAAGUAAUGAGUCCCCCAAAUAUUGGGGGCUCAUUACUUCAAUUGAGAUAAUUUAGUUGGAACUUUACUUUUUAGUUGGAACUUUAGGUGGUUCUCUAAAAAAGAUAGCGAAAAAAAUUAUACCUAGAGUCGAGACUAAGAGGAAUGUAUAAACUAAUGCUUCCAUAGAUUCGAUCGUGGUUUACAAUUAUAGCUUCCAUACCUGUUGUUUAUUUUUAUUUAUGAUCAUCCUCCUGGAAAGAACAAGAGUAAAAAAAACAGCUAUUCAAAUAAAGAUUUCUCUGGCACCCUAUAGAUCUAGUAGAUCUAGAAAGGAAAGAAAAAAAUCACAAAAAGAAAAAUAGAGUCGAAAGACACCAAAGCAAUGAUGUUG